rnacentral:lncRNA from 1 species
UAGAGGUUAUACAAAUAACUACUAAAGUUGAAAAAAAUAAAGAGAGGUCAACUCAAUCUUUAUCAAAUGAAAUUAAAGUUUAUUUUAAAACACAAACAACUAGUUCAUUGAAAUGAUAACUUGUUUAGUACACAAACAAGAUCUUACUUAAUACAUAGAAAUAAGAUCUUACGGAACAUAGAGAUUAAAAACAUAGGAACAACAUGAAAAGUUUUUAAAAUGACAUAGAUAUUGAUUAACAAAGAUAUGAACUAGUUUCGGGUAUUUUUUAACCAUCCAUCAAGGUAAACUUGUUUGGAGUCAGGGGUGGAUUUUGGUCUAAUAUCUUUCAACCAUCCAUCAAGGUAAACUUGGUUGGAAUCAGAGGAGGAUUUUGCUUUUUCAGCUCGAGUGUCUUUCAACCAACCAUCAAGAUAAACUUGUUUGGGAUCAGAGGUGGAUUUUGUUUUCUCUGCUCGAGUAUCUUUCAACCACCCAUCAAGGUAUACUUGGUUGGAGUCAGGGGUAGAUUUUGUUCUCUCGUUUCGAAUAUCUUUCAACCAUCCAUCAAGGUAAACUUGGUUGGAAUCAGAGGAGGAUUUUUCUUUUUCAGCUCGAGUGUCUUUCAACCAACCAUCAAGAUAAACUUGUUUGGGAUCAGAGGUGGAUUUUGUUUUCUCUACUCGGGUAUCUUUCAACCACCCAUCAAGGUAUACUUGGUUGGAGUUAGGGGUAGAUUUUGUUCUCUCGUUUCGAAUAUCUUUCAACCAUCCAUCAAGGUAAACUUGGUUGGAGUCAGAGGAGGAUUUUUCUUUUUCAGCUCGAGUGUCUUUCAACCAACCAUCAAGAUAAACUUGUUUGGGAUCAGAGGUGGAUUUUGUUUUCUCUACUCGGGUAUCUUUCAACCACCCAUCAAGGUAUACUUGGUUGGAGUCAGGGGUAGAUUUUGUUCUCUCGUUUCGAAUAUCUUUCAACCAUCCAUCAAGGUAAACUUGGUUGGAGUCAGAGGAGGAUUUUUCUUUUUCAGCUCGAGUGUCUUUCAACCAACCAUCAAGAUAAACUUGUUUGGGAUCAGAGGUGGAUUUUGUUUUCUCUACUCGGGUAUCUUUCAACCACCCAUCAAGGUAUACUUGGUUGGAGUCAGGGGUAGAUUUUGUUCUCUCGUUUCGAAUAUCUUUCAACCAUCCAUCAAGGUAAACUUGGUUGGAGUCAGACAUGGUUUUUGUUUGCUUUGCUCGAGUAUUUUUCAACCAUCCAUCAAGGUAAACUUGGUUGGAGUCAGAUGUAGAUUUUUCUUUCUCAGCUCGGGGAUCUUUUAACCAUCCAUCAAGAUAAACUUGUUUGGAGUCAGAGGUGGAUUUUGUUUUCUCUGCUCGGGUAUCUUUCAACCAUCCAUCAAGGUAAACUUGAUUGGAGUUAGGCAUGGACUUUUCUUUCUCGACUCUGAUAUUUUUCAACCAUCCAUCAAGAUAAACUUGGUUUGAGUCACUUGCAGGUUUUGUUUUCUCAACUCGGGUAUUUUUCAACCAUCCAUCAAGGUAAACUUGGUUGGAUUCAGAGGUGGAUUUUGCGUUCUCUGCUCUGGUAUCUUUCAACCAUCCAUCAAGGUAAACUUGGUUGGAGUUAGGUGUUGACUUUUCUUUCUCAGCUCUGAUAUCUUUCAACCAUCCAUCAAGAUAAACUUGGUUGGUGUCACCGGUAGAUUUUGCUUUCUCAGCUCGAUUAUCUUUCAACCAUCCAUCAAGGUAAACUUGGUUGGAUUCAGAGGUGUCUUUUGCUUUCUUUGCUCUGGAAUCUUUUAACCAUCCAUCAAGAUAAACUUGAUCAGAGUUCUGGGAGGAUUUGGUUUUCUCUGCUCGUGUAUCUUUCAACCAUCCAUCAAGAUAAACUUGGUUAGAGUUAGCAAUGUGUUUUUGACUCUUCAAUGGAUUUUUGAGCCAACCAUCAAGGUAAGGUUGAUCAACUUGUAUUUCUUGUACAUUCUCUUGCUGAAGUUUGAUAUAUCGGGCAAAGCUUCCUUGUCCAUUCUAUAAUACAAUUGAAUAAAUGGAUAUUAGUGAGUUAUUUUUGGAUGGUAUAUAUGAUUACAAAAACAAAAUAAUGUGUUUUAUAAGACACAUUAUGUUGCACAGGUGAGACACAUUCAUUAUAUAUUUCAGAUGGAUACAAAAUGUGAAAUAAAAAUGAAAGAAAAACAAUUUUUAAAAUUUCAUUGCGGCAUAGAAAACAUUAUUUUAUCAAAUCAAAUAGAACAACUUGAUUGUAAGUGAAUGAUGAAAUCAAAUCAAAUAAAGAUGAGAAAUGAUAGAUUGUGAUAAAUAAAUGAUGAAAAAUAUAAGUGUAAAAGAUACAAGAAUGGAUGCAAAGUUAGUAACUUACGAUCAACAAGAGCAUGAUAAAAGGGAGGAGAAACAAAACAUCUUUGUGUGUCAUUUCUUUAAUGUUAUGAUUUUGUGGGAAAAUUGUUUUAAUGUGAAAAGAUGUAUUGAAAUGGAAGUGAAUUGGGCUAUUUAUAAGUGAAUGAAAAGAAAAACUACAUUAAGGAUAUUAAGGACAUUGCGACUUUGGUUGGCAAGAUUAUUUUUUAAAUAUUUAAUUUAUUUUAUUUUUUAAAUGUUUAGUUUAAUUUAUAAGUUUAUAUGUCUAAGAAAGAUCAAUUUACUUUUUCCAAGAUCUAUUAGGUGUGUUGUUUUGAGUUAUAAAUAAAAAAUUCAAAAAAUUGUUUGUUUGGUAUCAUUUUUUUAAUUAGAAGCUCCUAACUAAAUUCUCCAGGUUUAAAAUAAAUAAAUUUUAGAAAAGCUACUGCAAUUAGUUUUUUAUUUUAAAAUUAAAAAUGAUUCUCUUAAAAACUUUAAUAAAAACCUAUUAAAAUGAUAAAGGUGAUUUUUUAAAUGUUAAACAAACAUUUAUUUUGAUAAGUUAUUUCAAAUAAUUUAAAAUUUCAUAAAUUUAUUUUAAUUUAUAAUUGAAGUGGUAAUUAUCAUAAUCUCGUCUCUUGAGUUCUAAUAUUUGAGCUAAUAGUAUAAAUAUUUUUUAGUUGAAUUAAAAUUUGCAUUAAUGAUAGUUUCAAUUUUACAAUUAAUUAAACUAAUUUAGUAGUUAAUUUUAUUAAGUGUAAUAAAUGCAAUGAAUUAAUUUAACUACAUCCCCUUUAAUUCGAGGUGGGUGUAGGUAUUCCGAGACAUUCAAAUUUGAAGACUAAUAUAUAGAUUAAAAUUAUUUAUUAAUUUAUUUAAUGGUAAUUACAUAUUACAAAAUUUCAUUUUUGGAAAAAAGUUAUUAUUUUAAUAUUUUAUAUUUUUUAAUAGUUAUUAUUUUAUAAAAUUAAUUAUAAUGAGUAUAAUAUUUUAAUUUUAUUAUCAUCAAAUAUACACGACAUCAAAAUUACCAAACAUGAAAUCUAAAUAUAGGGAUCCAAUUAAUUGAAUUGGAAUUUACAUUGUGAAUCAUGAGUCUUCUGCCACCAAUUCCUAGGGACUCACUACCUAGCAAACAAUGAAUACAAAAUAGUAUCACAAGAAACACUAAAAUACUGUGUUGACCCUUGCAUGUUUAAGAUGUUCACAUGUAGCUAGGGUUUGGGUGGUUAUGUAGUUAUGCUUACCUAAUAGUAAGACUGUGUUGACCUUUGCAUGUUUAAGAUGUUCACAUGUAGCUAGGGUUUGCGUGGUUAUGUAGUUAUGCUUAUCUAAUAGUAAGUUAAAAAAUUGUAGUUAUCUAAAAAGUAAUAAAUUAUUAUAUUGACCGGUCUAAAGAGAAGAUAGAUAAGUUANGUAGUUAAUUUUAUUAAGUGUAAUAAAUGCAAUGAAUUAAUUUAACUACAUCCCCUUUAAUUCGAGGUGGGUGUAGGUAUUCAGAGACAUUCAAAUUUGAAGACUAAUAUAUAGAUUAAAAUUAUUUAUGUUCGUCUUAUAUAUUUUUUUUUUAUAUUUUAAUAUAAAUAUUUAUUAAUUUAUUUAAUGGUAAUUAUAUAUUACAAAAUUUCAUUUUUGGAAAAAAGUUAUUAUUUUAAUAUUUUAUAUUUUUUAAUAAUUAUUAUUUUAUAAAAUUAAUUAUAAUGAGUAUAAUAUUUUAAUUUUAUUAUCAUCAAAUAUACACGACAUCAAAAUUACCAAACAUGAAAUCUAAAUAUAGGGAUCCAAUUAAUUGAAUUGGAAUUUACAUUGUGAAUCAUGAGUCUUCUGCCACCAAUUCCUAGGGACUCACUACCUAGCAAACAAUGAAUACAAAAUAGUAUCACAAGAAACACUAAAAUACUGUGUUGACCCUUGCAUGUUUAAGAUGUUCACAUGUAGCUAGGGUUUGGGUGGUUAUGUAGUUAUGCUUACCUAAUAGUAAGACUGUGUUGACCUUUGCAUGUUUAAGAUGUUCACAUGUAGCUAGGGUUUGCGUGGUUAUGUAGUUAUGCUUAUCUAAUAGUAAGUUAAAAAAUUGUAGUUAUCUAAAAAGUAAUAAAUUAUUAUAUUGACCGGUCUAAAGAGAAGAUAGAUAAGUUAUUAUAAUCAAAUAUUAUCUAAAAAACAAUAAAUUAUAAGGAAUAUAGUUUCAUUAUUUUUAUGUUUAUUUAAAAAAUAUAAAUAUUUUUUAAAUUAAUGAUAAAUAAUUGAUUUUAAAUGUGAUGAUGGUUUAUAUCUUUACAUAAGAAACUAAAUGAUAAAAUGUGAAUAUUCAUAUCUAACAUUAAAUAUUUAUCUAAAUAUGUAGGCCAGCCUCAUAUUUAUUGUAAAUUUUUUAACAAAGCUUUUAAUAAUGUAAAUUAGAAUAAUGUAGGCCAGCCUCUCUAUUUAUAUAAAAAAAAUAUUUUUUAAAAUAUUUUUAUAAUAAAAAUAUAAAAUUUGUCACAAAACAAUUUUAUUAUUUUAUUAACUAUAAAAAUAUAGGUUAUAAAUCACAUAUUUCAUUUAUAAUUCAUUAACCAGUAAAAUACGUAAUAUUAAUCAAAUUAUAAUAUUAAAAUAUGAAAUACACAAUUUGCUUAAUUAUUAAUUAUUAUAUUUUAUAUUUUAAUGUCAAAAUUUAUUGAUAUUAUUUAUUUUAUUAAUUGAAUACAGUAAUAAAUAAAAUAUAUGGUUAAUCACCUAUAUUUUUGUGAUUAAUAUAAUAAUAAAAUUAAUUAAUAACAAACUUUAUAUUUAUAUUAUAAAAAUAAUUAUAAAAAUAAAUCAAAAACGAGUUUAAGACAACAUAGGAAAAAGGGAGACUCGGAUAUCGUAUCUCAAAGACGGUUGAAUUAUUAUUAAUAUACUGGAAUCGAAUUGGGGGUUUAUAUUUGAUUCAUAAUAAAUGAUUAUGAAAAGUGAUUAUAAAAUAAGUUGAUUUAUUGAUUCGGUUCCUACCUACCAUUGAUUAUUAUAGCGCGAAUGAAAGUGUAAGAAUUAUGUUUCUUAUUUGCUGAAUUAAGCAAUCAGUUAAGAUUAAAGCGAAUUAACGGAUUAAGCAUACGUUAACACGCAAUCAAAAUUAGGGAACAAUAAAUAUUCAAAUCAAACAAAAUUACUAAGUUUGAAAUUGUACCUCAUUCAGGUCUUGGUUCAAGCAUCCCUAUGUGCAUCACAUUUAACUUUGCAUAGGCCAUGAACUCAAGUCUUUUGGUAUGGAAAAAUGCAUAGAUCCAUAUGCCCGAUUCACUUCAUUCAUAUGAUGCAGAUGAUCAAGGAUGAUUGAUCCAUUUAAGACUUAGUUCCAUUGGUUCAUUCUUUGUUGCUUAAGAAAUCUCAGGGUUUUACUAAGAAGAAAGAGGUCGAGACCAGUGUCGUGAUAGUAAAUAUCUACCCUCAAGUUCAAGCACCUAUGACUCAUGUGUCAUACUACCCUUAUCUGUACAUUGUCGCUGCUCAAUAUCAGCAACCUGCAUACCAACCGCAAUAUCAACAGCCUCCAUGGGCUCCAAUUUCUCAGAAUCAACAAAAUAGCAGAAACCAGAGUCUAGGUCAGGGCAGACGUUAUGAUAGAAAACGUCCUCAGCCUGACCAUAUCCCUGUAUCAUACACUCAGUUGUUGUCGUAUCUUGUCCAGUAAGGAGCAAUUGCGCCAAAAGAGAUUCCGCCUGCAACUCCUCCCUAAAAUCACAAGCAUAAUCCUAAUGUGUCUUGUGCAUUUCAUGUCGGAUACAUAGGGCAUUCUACAGAGGAUUGUUUGGUCCUCAAGACCAUAGUACAAGAGUUAAUUGAUCAUAAGGUUUUGUAAUUCUCUGAGGCAGGACCCAAUGUCAUAACCAACCUAUUGCCAGACCACUGUGGACAGAUAGUGAAUGCAGUUUAUGGCGAAGAUUCCUCAGAUUCAGUUGAUUCUUCAGAGAAGUACUGAUGCUAGCAAUAUCAUAUUGAUUCAAUCAUGUAUCAUUUGUAAUCUUUUCUUGUUUGUUAAUUGUUGUUCAUUUGUAAAACUUGUCUGGUUUUUCAGAUGAUAAUAAUAAUGAAAUAAGCGUGCAUGUUUUGCUUAAAUCCAUUCGUGUUCACUCAUAUUUUAUUUUAUCAGUAUCAAAUUGUUUGUCGAACAAAAUCAAAAGAGAAUGAUGAAAUUAAAAAUAUGCAAGAUCGCUGUUUGUAUGCUUUUGAAUAAGAUCAUGUUGAUGAUGCAAGGCAUUGUUCAAUCCCUAAACACCGGAGAUAUAAGGAAGAUAAUCCCUAGUCAACCCAUUUGGAUGUUGUAGUAGGAGUUUCUUUCUUUAACACAUAAAAUCCUCAUGCUUAACUAGGGGCAGGGUAUUCUUCAUUUAGUUUAGACUUGCAUUCAAAUUUCAGAAGGAGAAUAUCUCAUCCAGUGAUCAAUCAUAUCAUAUCCCUCUCAAGAGGAUGGAAUCACAAAUCCAGGAUGGUUAUCCCUUACCAUUCAAAAGGAGUGAGAUAGUCACGACCCAUGCAACAAAUCAAGAAAGUCGUGUCACACGGUUUUCUCUAGUACAAAAAGAAAAGAUGAAAAAAUUAAAAGUCCGCUAAGUCAAAAACUUGAAAACAAGAUUGACUUAUAUGUGUGUGUUUGGGGUGAGUCUGGAGAUGCACCUUCGAACUUCGAAAUGUGUGAGCUUUUUUGUAUUUUUCAUCUCAUGCCCUAGUAAUAUAUAUGGUGCAUUAAAAAAUAUCCAUAAAUUAAGGGAUUUGGUUAACACACUCUUAGGAUUGUUUUUCGACCCUUGUGAAAAAUCAAAACUACCUUUAGAAUUCAGAAAUAAAUCUUUGGACGCACCUCAAACACACACACAAUCAAUUCAUUUUUGAGUCAUGAAGUUAAUUAGGAAAUGCAUCUCCUUAAAUAUUAACGGGGGUGUAUUUUCCAAACCUAUUGAACCACACAGAAUUGCAUAAACCAAACAGAUGCAGAAAUAAAGAUAAAUCACAUUGAUAACAUGAAAAAUGAAAUAUUACAUAGAUAAUCGUUAACAUAAAUCGAACUUUGCAUUUGAACAUCAAGAUGGACGUUUCAACAUAUUUAUAAUAUCUUUUAUCGAUCUCGCAAUCAUCGCAUCCAACUUGAUCAAACAUUUUAUUUCGUAACGGUUAAAUGUAUUUCACAUAACUCUUAAAUCCGCAUCCGUCUUCAGCUUAAAGUUGUUGAACUGAAUCUACCAUUCAUUAUCAACCGAGAGUGAACCUUACUUGAGUUUCACAAUUCUUCAAUGAACUUAAAUGCAAUUGAGGACUCCGCGUAGUUGAGUCAUAUUUCAUGGAGACUCAUAAUGCGUCCAAAAAUGCAUUUCCAAAAUUUUAGUGGCAUUUUUAAAUUUUUAUAGGAUGGUUUUCCAGCACUUAUGUAGAGAUAAACAAUUUCCUUAUUAAAGGUCUCUGAGAGGAAUUGAAAUAAAUAUAUUUAAAAAAUUAGUAUUAUACUUAUUUAAGGAAUAAAGUUUUCUAACCAAAAAUUUUUCCCUAAUUUUUUUGUGCCUAAUUUUUUUGCUAACAAAAUAGAGACCUGAUUAUAUUUCACUAAUUUUCAUUCAUCUCUCAAUUAAUAUCUCUCAUAACCCUCAUUAACUCUCAAUUAAUGUAAUUCAUAUCAAUUAAUUGUUUUUUGAAAAUUUUGUAUCCGGCUUCGGACCAACUAGUUUAGUGAAUUGCUAAUUUCAUCUUUAAGUGUUGGAAAAAUACCUUAUAAAAAUUUGAAAAUACUCUUCUGAUUCCAAAAAUGCAUCUUCGGACGCAACUUGCACCUCACCAAAACACGCUUCAACUUGUUGAUGUUUUUUAUGUAAUUCAAGUGGUGUAACUGGUUACCUCAUGUGGUGUAAACGGUUACCACUAAAGUUGAUUUAAUUCAAUAUCAGAUGUAACCGAUUAUCCACUUUUGUGUAACGAUUACAAGCUUAAUAUUUUGAUUUUUUCUGAUAUUUUACUUGGUCAAUUCAGUUCCCAAUUGUGUUGUAUCUCUUGUAUAAGUGUUUAGAAUGUACACUCAUCUAAGGUUAAUGCAAUAAUAAUCUCUCAUCCUCAAUUCUCCUCUUUCACACUCCACAUCCAAAGUAUCUCCACCAUUAUUCACCAAACUUGUGGUGUCCUGUUCCAACAUUUGACAUCAAGAGUCUGGUUCAGAUCCACAAACACUUAGUGUGCAACAUGAAUUAUGUUUCCAAUGAAAAAAUCCCUCCAAACCUACCUAUCCUUGAUGCGAAGAAUUAUGAUAAAUGGUACAAGGAAAUGAAGAUGUUGUUUGGCUACCAAGAUGUUCUUACAGUAACUCUUAAGAGAAAAUAGUUGUCCCUGACCUACUUUGAGUCUCCGUAGGGAAAUUGGACUGGCAAAGAGGGUAGAAGGAGGAAACUACUCAAGUGAGCUUGAAGCAACAAAGGCAGUGAGUUUAGUUCCCACGCGGGGAAGAACGUUUAUAACAAGAGCCAGGAAGAUAAAUUAUUUUAUAAUACCUUCUCAAAAGUAAAAUGAGCUAUGAGAAAGAGCAAGAAUCUCAAGCGAUUGGCUGAACUUAACCUAGCUCGAGCUACAUGGCGGUUGAUCAAGGGAUACCGGAAAGAGGCAAACAACAGAACCUCCGGGUUUGAAGCUUUUCAUGUCGGGGCGAGGUCAAUCAAGGGUUUUGGGUCAGUGAAAGCUCGAGUGCCCCCUUCAAAAGUAAGGUGUCGGGAAUGCAACCAGUGAGGUGACCCGUUCCGUUAGGGCGGAUGAAAGAAGUUAUCCUGAAGCAGCGUCAAAGGCCUCUGUAGGCCCUUCAACAGGAUUUUUUGUCGUGUAGCAUUCUGUUUUGGCUACUCACGAAACUCUUUAUCCUUAAUAGGAAGAACUCCCUUUAGAGGAAGGAUACAAAGACCAAGCCUGUCUUUCUCUCUUAAAAAGGGCAUAUGGGGCAGGGCAGAAAGACUAUUUUAGGGGACUAAUCUGCUAAUGAAUGAAGGAAGGAGAAGGCCUUAAUUGUCUAUCCAAAGGUCCGCCUUGGGUGGAUUUAGGCGAAUCAAGUGGGUGGGAAUGAUCCGAGCCCCCUAUGUAAAUUUCAGUAAGGUAACUAAGGUUUACAAUAAUUCAUUUCAGUAGUGCGUUACCUUGCAGCUCUAUCUAUCGGGUAGUCAGUCUCUUGGUCAAAAGCCGGUACCUAAUUCCCCUGCUGGUGGGCCGAUCCUCGUCUAGCGGUGGGAACCGGCUGGUAUGGAUCAAUUGCUUGCCCUGUCUCUCUUCUGUUCAACCAUCGAGAAUCCGCAGUUAUCUUUGCUCAUUGGGUGGGCGAAGGAAUCCUUUCUAUUGAAUAAGGGCUUUGAGAAGCAGGCCAUUCCGUUCCAGUUAGCACCGUAUCCCGCUUUUCCGAUAGCAAAGGGCCUUCUAAUUAGCGUGCUUUGCUUAACCCGGCAAGAUCCGAGAUCAGACCUAGUCCUGCUGACCCGCUACCCUUGAAAACAUACUUUUUGCCACCUUACGACUGGUGUGAAGGAACUUAUUGCACAUAUUUAACAUGGGGAAGGAAAGAGGAGGGAAUAAAGCAUAUUUUAGGCAUCGANUUAAGAAAUGUCCAUGAAUUAAGGGAUUUGGUUAACGCACUCUUAGGGUUGUUUUUCGACCCUCGUGAAAAAUCAAAACUACCUUUAGAAUUCAGAAAUAAAUCUUUGGACGCACCUCAAACACACAUAAUCUGUUCAUUUUGUAGUCAUGAAUUUAAUUCGGAAAUGCAUCUCCUUAAAUAUUUAUGGAGGUGUAUUUUCAGAACCUACUUAACCACAAAGAAUUUCAUAAACCAAACAGAUGCAGAAACAAAGAUAAAUCACAUUGAUAACAUUGAAAAAUGAAAUAUUACAUAGAUAAUCGUUAACAUAAAUCGAACAUUAUAUUUGAACAUUAAGAUGGACGUUUCAACAUCUUUAUAAUAUCUUUUAUCGAUCUCGCAAUCAUCGCAUCCAACUUGAUCAAAUAUUUUGUUUCGUAACGGUUAAAUGUAUUUCAGAUAACUCUUAAAUCUGCAUUCGUCUUCAGCUUAAAAUUGUUGAAAUGAAUCUUCGAUUCAUUAUCAAUCGAGAGUGAACCGUACUUGAGUUUUGUAAGAACAAAAAUAGUUCUACAAUAGAUUCCAUGAUUUUGAUGAUAACAAAGGAUGAAACCAAAAAUGGCACCCUAACGAAAAGUUUCUAAGUGUGCAGGGUUCUAAAGAAAGAAGAAAUAAAUCUGAUGAUGUCAUCAGAUGCAAAACAAGAUCAGAUGUAAAAUCUCAAGUAUCAGAAGCAUCUAAAGAGGAAUCUCAUUCAAGAAGCUCUGACUCUGGACAAAACUACAAAGUAUCAGAAGCAUCUGAACAUGAAGUAAAGUCUAGAAGCUCUGACUCUGAACAAAUGCCUUCUGUAAAUUCUGAAGUUAUCAGCGCCAUCUGAACUUUCAAGAGAUAACAUCAGAAGCCAGUUUCUCCAGAUACACAAAGACUCUAAUCAGAAUUGUUAAUCAUGAUGAAGUAACGUUUAAGCCAAGUUAAAGUUCUGCAAAUGGAUUUCCUCAAUUAGAAAGAGACGUUAAUCUCCACUUCCAAGAGAGAAGAUACUAAUUGUGGUAAGUAGUCACUUCUAAGAGAAAAAGUCUACUGCAGAAGCUAUUAAUGGAAUGGCGUAACUACAUCUCAAUAUCCAACAGAUUCAACGCUACUUCAACUCUACUUCAACUCCUAUAAAUAGAGAAGAAAUCUCAUUCAGUAAGAAAGAAAUCACUAGCCAAAACUAUACUGAAAUUAUAUCACGCUCAAGAAAAACAUCUUUGUUCUUCAAAGAUUUUCACUAAGCUUUUGCUUAUCAAGUGAAAAAUUUGUUCUUAAGUUUGUAAUAUUUGCUUUCUUAGAAGCACUCUAGAUUACACAUCUUGUAUCUAAUUUUUAUUUGAUUUCCUCAAGUGACUCUUUGUAGUCUGUAGACUUGAGAGGACUAAGAGAUUUUCUUCUCUCUUAGGGGUUGUUUGUAAUCUUUCAAGAUUAGUGGAUUAAGUCCUUGUUGAAGGCGAAAUCACCUUGGCCGGGUGGACUGGAGUAGCUUUGUGUUAUAAGCGAACCAGUAUAAAAUCAUUGUGUGAUUUUCUUUUGCAAAAGCGCUUAUUUUUCAAACAAUUCAAACCCCCCCUUUCUUGUUUUUCUCACCUUCAAUUGGUAUCAGAGCUCCGGCUCUGUUAUUGAUUUUCAAAUCAAACACUUAACCGUGUAGAGAGAUCCAGUGCGAGAAAAACAAAUGGCCCACUCAAAUGAGAAAGAUUCUUACAAUGCCAAGCCUCCUGUUUUUGAUGGAGAAAAGUUUGAUUACUGGAAAGAUAGAAUCGAAAGUUUCUUUCUGGGUUAUGAUGCUGACCUCUGGGACAUUGUCACAGAUGGAUACAAACCUCCAACCUUAAAUGGAGCUGAAGUUCCCAGAAGCAAAAUGUCAGAAGAUCAGAAACGUGAGUUCAAAAAUCAUCACAAGGCCAGAACAAUACUUCUAAAUGCUAUAUCAUACAACGAAUACGAAAAGAUCACCAACAGAGAGACGGCUAAAGAUAUACUUGACUCUCUGAAGAUGACCCAUGAAGGAAACUCCCAAGUCAAGGAGACGAAGGCUCUGGCGUUGAUCCAGAAAUAUGAAGCCUUCAAGAUGGAAGAUGACGAAGCUAUAGAAGCUAUGUUUUCCAGAUUCCAAACUCUUAUUGCAGGUCUUAAAGUGCUAGACAAAGGAUACACGACUGCAGAUCAUGUUAAGAAGAUUGUCAGAAGUCUGCCAAAGAAAUGGAGACCUAUGGUUACUGCUCUGAAGUUAUCAAAGGAUCUGAACAGUAUCAGCCUUGAAGAACUUGUUAGUUCUCUCAGAAGCCAUGAGAUAGAACUAGAGGAGGAUGAGCCUCAGAAAAGGAACAAGUCAGUGGCGCUGAAGUCCAGACCUGAAAGACGGAAGUCAGACAGAACCAAAGCUCUCCAGGCAGAAACUGCAGAUACUGACGACUCUGAACCUGAAGACUCUGAUGAUGAAGAAGAACUGUCCUUACUAACCAGAAGAGUUAAGCAACUCUGGAAAAGAAGGAACAACAACAACUUCAGAAGAUCAAGACCCAGAGGGGAUAGAUCAGAGUCAACUUCAAAAGGUAAACCUAAUAAAGAUAUUACCUGUUUUGAAUGUAAAGAAACAGGUCAUUAUAGAAAUGAAUGCCCCAAGCUGAAGAAAGAUAACUCUAAGAAAGAAAGCUUCAAGAAAAAUGCCUUCAGAACAAAGAAGGGAUUAAUGGCCACCUGGGACGAUAGUGAAUCAGGAUCAUCAGAAUCUGACUCUGAUGAACAAGCCAACGUAGCAUUUAUGGCUACCACAUCCAGCAGCUCAGAUGAAGAAUCUGAAGAGGUAUUUUCUGAACUUUCUAGAUCUGACUUAGAAUCAUGUUUAUCAGAAACUCUUACCUCUCUUCAGAAAUUAAAACAAAAAGUUAAAAGCAUUAAAGGCCUUCUUAAAGCAAAAUCUGAAGAAUGUAGUGAACUUGAGACAACAAUUCUAGCACAUGAAGAUACAAUCAAAUCUUUAACGUUAGAAAGAGAUGGAGCUAAAACAAAAAGCUUAAAAUUAGAAGAAGCGUUGUCUCAAGCACCACAAACUUCAAAUGAAAUUAUUUAUAAAUAUGAAGAAGCCUUUCAGAAGUUUCUGAAGAGUGGAAUAGAUAGGAGUAUUAUGGCAUCCAUGAUUUAUGGAGUAAGUCAGAAUAAUAAAAGGGGAAUUGGGUAUGAUUCUGAUUCUGAUAAAACUUCUACCAGUAACCAAAUUAAAUCACCUUUUUCAUACCACUAUACACACACACAAGAACACAAAUUUAAAAAUGCUAGAAGACCCAAAGUUGUAAGAAACUCUGGGAAAACUAAUCUGAAAGGACCCAAGAGAUUCUGGGUACCGAAAGAUAAGAUUAUCUAUGUUGCAGAUAUCCUAUGCAGCAAAGUUCAGACACCAGUCAUGGUACCUGGACUCUGGAUGCUCGCGACAUAUGACGGGAAGAAAGUCUAUGUUCCAAAGCCUGGAACUUAAAGACGCUGGCUUUGUAGGCUUCGGAGGAGAUCAGAAAGGAAGGAUCAGAGGCUCCGGAACUAUUGGUAAUGGUACUCUUCCCUCUAUAUCUGAUGUUCUUUAUGUAGAAGGAUUAAUGCAUAACUUGUUAUCCAUAAGUCAAUUAAGUGAUAACGGUUAUGAUGUAAUCUUUAAUCAAAAAACGUGUAAAGCCAUUAAUCAGAACGAUGGCUCUGUCCUUUUCACAGGCAAGAGGAAAAACAACAUUUAUAAAAUAAAUCUUUCUGAUUUAAAAGAUCAAAAUGUUAAAUGUUUAAUGUCAGUUCACGAAGAGCAAUGGGUAUGGCAUAGACGCUUAGGCCACAUUAGCAUGAGAAAACUUUCUCAGCUAACUAAACUUGAGUUAGUCAGAGGCUUACCUAAACUGAAGUUUUCUUCAGAUGCUCUGUGUGAAGCUUGUCAGAAAGGAAAGUUUUCAAAAACAUCUUUUAAAAAGAAAAAUGUUGUUUCUACCUCCAAGCCUCUGGAGCUUCUUCACAUUGACUUAUUUGGUCCUGUGAAAACAGCAUCAGUCAAUGGAAAGAAGUAUGGACUAGUAAUCGUUGAUGAUUACAGCCGCUGGACAUGGGUAAAAUUCCUAAAGCACAAGAGUGAGUCUCACUCUGUAUUCACCAGUUUCUGUUCUAAAGUGCAAAAAGAAUUUGACUCUAAAAUUGUUAGAGUCAGAAGUGAUCAUGGUGGAGAAUUUGAAAAUAAAGAUUUUGAAGAAUUAUUUGAUUCUAAUGGAAUAUCCCAUGAUUUCUCCUGCCCUAGAACUCCACAACAAAAUGGAGUUGUAGAGAGGAAGAAUAGGACACUCCAAGAAAUGGCCAGAACCAUGAUCAAUGAAACAAAUGUAGCAAAGCACUUUUGGGCAGAAGCUGUAAAUACAGCGUGUUACAUUCAGAAUAGAAUCUCUAUUAGACCUAUUCUGGAUAAGACUCCCUAUGAACUGUGUAAGGGAAGAAAACCCAACAUUUCAUAUUUUCAUCCUUUUGGAUGCAUUUGCUUUAUAUUAAAUACUAAAGAACAUCUGAACAAGUUUGAUUCCAAAGCACAGAAAGGUAUUAUGUUAGGAUACUCAGAACGCUCUAAAGGCUACAGAGUAUACAACACAGAAACCAAAAUUGUGGAGGAAUCAAUUCAUGUUAGAUUUGAUGAUAAGCUUGACCCUGAAAAGUCAAAGCUAGUUGAAAAGUUUGCAGAUUUAGAGAUCACUCUGGUAGAAUCUGAGAAAACUCCAGAAGCAACUGUCACUCCAGACUCUGAAGAAAUUAAAUCUCCAGAAAUUCCAAGGAAAGUCAAGAGUCGUAGCAACGUAUCUGAAGAUUUGAUUUUGGGAAACAAAGAUGAACCUGUUAGAACCAGAUCUACCUUCAGAACUUCUGAAGAUAUUCCUCUGGGACUAGUGUCUCUGAUUGAGCCUACGUCCUGUGAUGAAGCUCUUCAAGAUAACGAUUGGGUGGCAGCUAUGCAAGAAGAGUUAGAUCAAUUCUCCAAGAAUGAUGUCUGGGAUCUCGUUCCUAAACCCAGAGGCACUCAUGUCAUUGGAACCAGAUGGGUUUUCAGAAACAAACUGAACGAGAAAGGAGAAGUUGUCAGAAACAAAGCACGACUGGUAGCUCAAGGUUAUAGUCAACAAGAAGGUAUUGAUUAUAAUGAAACUUUUGCUCCAGUCGCAAGGUUAGAAUCUAUUCGUCUUCUUGUAUCUUUUGCUAUUAAUCACUCUAUCAAAUUAUACCAAAUGGAUGUCAAGAGUGCAUUUCUUAAUGGUUAUAUUUCAGAAGAAGUGUAUGUCAAUCAACCUCCAGGUUUUGAAAAUUCAAACUUUCCAGAACAUGUUUUCAAACUUAAGAAAUCCUUAUAUGGACUUAAACAAGCUCCCAGAGCUUGGUAUGAACGCUUAAGUAAUUUUCUUCUGGAACAAAAUUUUAUCAGAGGGAAAGUUGAUUCUACACUCUUCUGUAAAAAUCAUAAAAAUGAUCUCAUGAUAUGCCAAAUUUAUGUUGAUGACAUUAUUUUUGGUUCUGCUAAUAUCUCUGUUUGCCAAGAAUUUUCUAAGUUAAUGCAGGCAGAAUUUGAAAUGAGUCUAAUGCAAGAACUAAAGUUCUUUCUGGGAAUUCAAAUUAAUCAAACUCCAGAAGUCACGUACAUUCAUCAAAGCAAGUACAUUAAAGACGUUCUGAAGAAGUUUGAUAUGUCUGAAUGCAACUCUGCAAAGACUCCUAUGCACCCAACUUGCAUUCUGGAAAAGGAAGAGGUAAGCAACAAGGUUUGUCAGAAGCUCUAUCGAGGUAUGAUAGGCUCUCUUCUCUAUCUGACUGCUACUCGUCCUGAUAUUCUCUUUAGCGUCUGUCUUUGUGCCAGAUUCCAAUCAGAUCCUAGAGAAUCUCAUUUAACAGCUGUUAAGAGAAUUCUUAAGUAUCUGAAAGGAACUCCUAACCUGGGCCUGAUGUAUGAGAAAACAUCAGAGUAUAGGCUUUCUGGUUAUUGUGAUGCAGAUUAUGCAGGAGAUAGAAUAGAACGAAAAAGCACAUCUGGAAAUUGCCAGCUUCUGGGAAACAAUCUAAUCUCCUGGGCUAGCAAAAGACAGUCAACUAUCGCUCUAUCAACUGCAGAAGCAGAAUAUAUCUCAGCAUCACUGUGCACAACUCAGAUGCUCUGGAUGAAACAUCAGCUAGAAGAUCUUCAAAUCUUUGAGAGUAACAUUCCUAUCCUUUGUGAUAAUACUGCUGCUAUUUGUUUGAGUAAGAAUCCUAUUUUACAUUCCAGAGCCAAACACAUAGAAAUUAAACAUCAUUUUAUUAGAGACUAUGUUCAGAAAGGAAUAGUAACGCUGAAGUUCAUUGAUACAGAACAUCAAUGGGCAGAUAUCUUUACUAAGCCUCUAGCUGAAGAUAGAUUUCUUUUCAUCUUAGAAAAUCUGAACAUUAAAAAUUGUCCUGAGUAAAAUUUGGCUCUGAACAUGUAAAAUGAGACUCUGAUAAAAACAAAUACACUUCUGCCUCUGACUCUGAUACUUCUACCAAGUUAAGAAGAUAUCUGAGUUAGAAAUCUUCAGAAAUCCUUUGGUAUUCCUGAAGAUCAGAUACAUCAACACGUGGGGAACAUGCGUCUAACCCUAGAACUUCUAGACAGCUGUCAAAAGAAAUCAAAGGUCAGAACGCUUGAAAUCUCCUCGAGCAGUGUGCUUACUGUUGGGAUUAGACAUUCAUUAAUUAGCUAUAAUCAUUUUUCCCCCAAACGUGCUAUUUUGGUUUUUGUGCUAACGCUGGUAUGUGUGUCGUUUUGCAUGUGUUUUUACCCUUAGUAUAUAAACACUUUCUCUCACUUUUCACACUUAUCACUCUCACUCACUCUAAAACCCUAAACCCUUCUCUGAAAGUUCUCUGCAAGUUCUUCAUCUUCUUCAAUCUCCAUCAUCUUCAUCAACAUGGACGCUCAACAACAAGAACUCUUCAACCAUUCUCAACAAGUGGAAUCUAGUUCCAAUCCCCAAACCUCAAACACUCAAACACCCACGGUUAUAAGCGUCACCACAACCCCAGUUUACAAAGAACCUCACAUUCUUGACCGUGAACAACACAUUCAUCUUUCAACUCCCUUUGAAGGUUUGGAUGUACUGUGUGAAUCGCUGGUGGAUUUUGAGAAUUUGAGAAGAAAUGGCGUUGAUUUAACUGAAGAUCUUCGCAAGCAAGGUUGGGAAACCUACUUCAACAGAUUGUAUGGUCCAAUCUAUCCUCUUCUGGUGAAAGAAUUCUGGAGAUGUGCAGAUGCUGAUGAUGAGUUCAUUGUUUCUUUUGUUCUGGGAGUGAAGAUCAUCAUCACAGAAGCAUCUAUUGCCUCUUUGCUGAACAUGGAGAGAACUGGAGGUAAAAGGAUUUACAACAUUCCUCCAAGGUCCAAGCGCAUCACAGAAGUCAUUAACCCUACAAUCUUCAAAGCAAAUGUUGAAGGAAACCCAUCUAAGAACAAGGAGCUUCAUCAGAACCUCCGAGUUUGGCUGAAGAUUAUUCUGGGAACAAUCCAUCAUCGUCCAGCCUCCAACUCUUCAGAUUAUAUAAAUGCUGAUCAGAAAUGCAUCCUCUACUGUAUUCAGAAGGGUAUUCCAAUCAACCUCCCUGUUCUCCUCUUCAGAUAUCUGAGGGAUUCAGUCAGAGAAACAAGGAAUAAUAUGAAGCCCAGAUCCUACAUUCCUCUGGGAAGAUUGCUCUCUGACAUCUUCAUUGAGCAUGGGCUGGUAGAUGCUCUGGAGAAGACCAGAUGUAUGGAUGAUCUGGCAAUUGACGUUGGAAAGCCUCUGAAUGCCAAAAAUCUGAGGAGUAUGGGAAUCAUCAAAGACAUCAGAGUCAAGCCCACUAUGAAUGUAACCUGGGAAGCUCUGAAGGAUCAGAGGAAGAUGCCUCAUGGCCUUGAAAGGUUCUUCAAGAAUGAACCCAGAGAUGCCAUUGCUAUCUACCUUCAGGAUCGUCUGGAUGAAGGCAUUGAUAUCUCUGAUUUCCGCCUUGAAGACUGUCUGGACUCUGUAGAAGAUCUGGUCAGAUACAAAAGAGGUCUUUCUGAGAAGAAGAUAGCUGAGGAAGCAAGGAAGGCAAAGAAAGCCAGACUUGGAGAAACCUCUGGCACCAAAGCUUCAGCACCUCUGAAUGUCUCCUCUGGUAAGUCCAUUCCUCCUGUCUCUUCUGAAUCUGUAAUGGCUUCCUCUAACCCUCUCUCCUCUCAACCAAUAUAUACCACCGCUGAAAUACCACCUUCAACCAUCAGAACCUCUCAACCUCCACCUGUUCUAAAAAUUGCUCGUAAUUUCACAACAACCUCUGACCCUAAUCAACUAUAUCACCACAGCUCUUCCUCAUCCUCUGAAUAUGAAUCACCCCCUUACCUUUCCCCUUCUUCUGACCAAGAGUUCUCUGAACAAGAGUCCUCUGACCAAGAACACUCUGACCCAAACUCCCCAACAAUAGCUGAAAUUUAUGCUAAAAAUUUCGCUCCACAACCCUCAAGACAAUCUGAAGUAACCUCUCCCCUCCAAACUUCACUUCCACCACAACAAACAACAACCUUACCCUCUGAAACUCAACCAUCUGAUCCCUUCACCUCUAAUAUCACUCCACCAUUUAUUCCCGCUGUACCUGGACCAGACUCUGACCCUUUAGACCUAAAUCCACUAUAUGCUUCAUCCCCUAGUCUUCAACCAGACGCAGAUUCUGAACUUCAAGCAGAAUCUGAACCUCAACAAACUGAACCUCAACCUCUAAAUCUCAGCCCUCAAAACUCUCCACCUCAUUCACCUGAACCUGAACCUGAACUUACCAUACCUACCCUUGAGGAGGCCAUUAUACAGGUUGCAGAAGCUUCAGUCCAGAAGAUCAAGUCUCUGGCUAAAAACUCUGAAGUUAGUGAUGAUCCUAAAUCUGUUAGGACACACUGGAACAGAGUCAUUAGUUGGAUGACCUCUGAGUCUUAUAGGCUGAAGAGUAUCUCUGAACAAGUCAGAAAUGGCUACAUCAGAGACUCUGAGGAAAGACUCCAAGAGAGACUGGCUAGAGAAGCUGAGGCCAGAAGGUUAGAGGAAGAGAGACUGGCUAGAGAAGCUGAGGCCAAGAGAUUAGAGGAAGAAAGAUUGGCUAGGGAAGCUGAAGAAGAAGCUAAGAGGUUGGAAGAAGAACGCCUGGCAAAGGAAGCAGAACUUCUAAGGAUUCAGGAAGCUGAAGCCAAGGCUAAGGCAGAUGCAGAAGCCCAAGCUGCUGCUGAAGCUGAAGCUCAGCAGGCUCUGAUUCAGGGGGAGUCUUCCUCUGCGAUCCCUCUGAUUCUUAACACUCUGAAGGAGAUCAAGCAAGAUCAGAAAGAGAUCAAGCAAGAUCAGAGUGAGCUCCGGGCAAGGAUGGACAAGCAAGACGCUCUGAAUGAAAACCUCCAGAAUAUGUUUGCUAUGCUACUACAGAGACUUCCUCCUCCUCCAAACCCUUAGGCACUUAGGAUUUCUUUUGUUUGCCUAGUGUUUUUGCUUCUGUCUUUUCUUUUUUUUCUCUGAUAUUUCUGUUGAAUCUGAUGUUUUGACUGCUGCUUGCCUUUGUGCUUUUGUUUAAUGAAGUGUUUUUCUCUCUAUUAUUUUUUUUAUGUUUUAUGCCUUUUUGAUUAUGCCAAAAAGGGGGAGAAAUUAUUAAAUAGCUCUGAUGAAAAUUAUGUCUAAAACCUUAAGCAUUCUGCAACAAUUAUAGAAAUAGUUCUGAUAUAAAUAGCUCUGAUUAAAUAAUAGCUCUGAUUAAAUAACUCUAACAUUAAAAUUAAGAAAUUGCAGAAAGUUUUCAGAAAUCUCAUUGCUUGGAAAGCUCUGGUAAGAACUUCUGAACUCCCUAGUACUAACUCAGGGGGAGCUUUUGUCUAUCUGAUCUAAUAUUUUUCAUGUUUCAUCUGAUAAUUUUAUUUGUUUUGUCAUCAUCAAAAAGGGGGAGAUUGUAAGAACAAAAAUUGUUCUACAACAGAUUCCAUGAUUUUGAUGAUAACAAAGGAUGAAACCAAAAAUGGCACCCUAACGAAAAGUUUCUAAGUGUGCAGGGUUCUAAAGAAAGAAGAAAUAAAUCUGAUGAUGUCAUCAGAUGCAAAACAAGAUCAGAUGCAAAAUCUCAAGUAUCAGAAGCAUCUAAAGAGGAAUCUCGUUUCAAGAAGCUCUGACUCUGGACAAAACUACAAAGUAUCAGAAGCAUCUGAACAUGAAGUAAAGUCUAGAAGCUCUGACUCUGAACAAAUGCCUUCUGUAAAUUCUGAAGUUAUCAGCGCCAUCUGAACUUUCAAGAGAUAACAUCAGAAGCCAGUUUCUCCAGAUACACAAAGACUCUAAUCAGAAUUGUUAAUCAUGAUGAAGUAACGUUUAAGCCAAGUUAAAGUUCUGCAAAUGGAUUUCCUCAAUUAGAAAGAGACGUUAAUCUCCACUUCCAAGAGAGAAGAUACUAAUUGUGGUAAGUAGUCACUUCUAAGAGAAAAAGUCUACUGCAGAAGCUAUUAAUGGAAUGGCGUAACUACAUCUCAAUAUCCAACAGAUUCAACGCUACUUCAACUCUACUUCAACUCCUAUAAAUAGAGAAGAAAUCUCAUUCAGUAAACACGAAGAAAUCACUAGCCAAAACUAUACUGAAAUCAUAUCACGCUCAAGAAAAACAUCUUUGUUCUUCAAAGAUUUUCACUAAGCUUUUGCUUAUCAAGUGAAAAAUUUGUUCUUAAGUUUGUAAUAUUUGCUUUCUUAGAAGCACUCUAGAUUACACAUCUUGUAUCUAAUUUUUAUUUGAUUUCCUCAAGUGACUCUUUGUAGUCUGUAGACUUGAGAGGACUAAGAGAUUUUCUUCUCUCUUAGGGGUUGUUUGUAAUCUUUCAAGAUUAGUGGAUUAAGUCCUUGUUGAAGGCGAAAUCACCUUGGCCGGGUGGACUGGAGUAGCUUUGUGUUAUAAGCGAACCAGUAUAAAAUCUUUGUGUGAUUUCAUUUUGCAAAAGCGCUUAUUUUUCAAACAAUUCAAACCCCCCUUUCUUGUUUUUCUCACCUUCAAGUUUCACAAUUCUUUGAUGAACUAAAAUGCAAUUGAGGACUCCGCGUCUUUGAGUCAUAAAUCAUGGAGACUCAUAAUGCGUCCAAAAAUGCAUAUCCAAAAUUUAAGUGGCAUUUUCAAAUUUUUAUAGGAUGGUUUUCCAACACUUAUGUAGAGAUAAACAAUUUCGUAAUUAAAGGUCUCUAAGAGGAGUUGAAAUAAAUAUAUUUAAAAAAUUAGUAACAUAAUUAUUUAAGGAAUAAAGUUUUCUAACCAAAAGAAUUUUUCCCUAAUUUUUUUGUGCCUAAUUUAUUUUGCUAACAAAGUAAAGCCCUGAUUAUUGUUACUAAAUUUUAGUAAUUUUCAUUCAUCUCUCAAUUAAUAUCUCUUAUAAUCCUCAUUAACUCUCAAUUAAUGUAAUUCAUAUCUAUCAAAAAAAAUUGAAAAUUUUGUAUCUAGGCUUGGGACCAACUAGUUUAGUGAAUUGCUAAUUUCAUCUUAAGUGUUGGAAAUAUGCCCUAUAAAAUUUUGAAAAUACCCUUUUGAAUCCGAAAAUGCAUCUUCGAACGCACCUUACGCCUCACUAAAACACACCUCAACUUGUUGAUGUUUUUUAUGUAAUUCAAGUGAUGUAACCAGUUAUCUCGGGUAGGUAACCGGUUACAUAAAUGUCUAAAGUUCAAUCAAGUAGCAAAAAUGUGGAGUUUUUGAAGGUGUAACCGGUUAACCAUUUUGGUGUAAACGGUUACCACAAAAGCUGAUUUAAUUCAAUGUCAGGUGUAACCGAUUAUCCAUUUUUGUGUAACAUUACAAGCGUAAUAUUUUGAUUUUUCCUGCUAUUUUACUUGGUCAAUUCAGUUCCCAAUUGUGUUGUAUCUCUUGUAUAAGUGUUUAGAAUGCACACUCAUCUAAGGUUAAUGCAAUAAUAAUCUCUCCCCCUUAAUUCUCCUCUUUCACACUCCACAUCCAAAGUAUCUCCAUCAUUGUUCACCAAACUUGUGGUCUCUUGUUCCAAAAUUUGACAUCAAGAGUCUGGUUCAGAUCCACAAACACCUAGUGUGCAACAUGAAUUAUGUUUCCAAUGAAAGAAUUCCUGCAAACCUACCUAUCUUUGAUGCGAAGAAUUAGGAUAAACGGUGCAAGGAAAUGAAGAUGUUGUUUGGAUACCAAGAUGUUCUUAAAGUAAUCAAUAAGGAUGUUACUCCUCUUAUUCAAAAUGAAACAGAGGCGCAACAAGCAACACAUAAGGAAGAGAAGAAGAAAUAGUUCAAUGUGUUGAUGGCGAUGAUUUUAAGAAAGUUGAUGAUUGUGAAUCGUCAAAGUAAGCGUGAGAGAUCUUAGAGAAGGCAUGUGCAUGGGUUGACAAGGAAAAGGUGGUGAGGUUACAAACUCAUAAACGUCAGUUUGAAUUGAUUCAAAUGGAGGAAAAGGAGAUAAUCAAUGAUUUUGCAAUGAGAAUCACUCGGUUGGUGAAUCAAGUGAAGGCAUGCAAAGAAACUGUUACGGAGUUGUAUGUUGCUGCUAAAAUCUUGUGUUCUUUAACACCAAGAUUUAACAGUAUAGUUGUGGCAAUUGAUGAGUCAAAGGAUCCCGCGACGAUGAGCAAAGAGGAGUUGCAAAGUUCUCUUGAGGCUCAUGAGAAAAAGAUGGAAAAGAGGAAUAACGAUAAGGCAAAGGCGGAGAUUGCUUUGCAAGCUCGUUUCAAUGAGAAGGACAAGAGAUCGAAAGGAAAAUGGCCCAAGAAAAGAAAAGGGAAUUUUCAUAAUUUGGGUGGAAGAGAGUCCUAAAAUUCAAAUGAUUUGACUUGUCAAAGGGGUGAGAGCAGCUACAAUAAACAUGGUGGUCAAGGAAACUUUAGAGGUAGAAGGAAGAAGUUUGAUAAGAGCAAGGAGAUGUGCUAUAAGUGUCAAUGGUUCGUUCAUUUUGCAAAAAAAUACAAUGUGAACAAGAAAGAAUCUCAAGGGAUUAAACCAAGGUUGCAAGAUAAGAGUUUGAUGAAGAGAAUAUAAUUUUGGUCAUGAUCAAAGAAGGGAAUUAUAGCAGCAAACAACUGUGGGACAACAGCGGCAAUAAAUCAAAGAAUGCUAAAAAGGUCGGUUGAAUGAUACGAUUAACCGAUCGCAUGAAGAGGAAGAUACCAUGAUGAGUUUGAAAGGAGUUCAAUGUAGUGAUGAGUGGUAUUUGGACUUGGGUUGUUCAGCUCAUAUGACAGGAAUAAAGGAUUGGUGUGUCAAAAUCAAUCGUGCCAUGAAGAAUAAACUAAAGUUUGCAGAUGAAACCACCCUAAUGAUCGAUGGGAUCGAUGAUGUUUUGAUCAUGAGAAGGGAUAAUGGACAUUACUUAAUCACAAAUUCUUGUACAUUUUUGGAAUCAAAUUUAACCUUCUAAGUAUUGGCCAAUUGCUUGAGAAGGAUUCCAAGAUUCACAUGGAAGACAAUGGGUUGUGCGUUAUGGAUAUAAGAGGAGGCUUGGUCCUUAAAGCGCAUAUGGCUGCCAAUAGAACCUUUAAGGUUGAGUUGAAGGUUAUAGAGUAUAAAUGUCUUGCUACUACAUCAAGUAGACAACAGUGGAUAUGGCACUAUCGUCUUAGACAUCUCAAUUUUAGAGAUCUCAAAGACUUUCAAAAGAACAUAAUGGUAACAGGGCUGCCAUUGAUCAACAUACUAGCUGAAAUUUGUGAAGAAUGUGUGCAAGUGAAGCAACAUAAGGGAAAAUUGAGCAAGUAGACUCUAUUGGUGGAAAUAUGUAUUUUGUCACAUUUAUCGAUGAUCAUAGUACAAAACUAUGGACAUACCUAAUCAAGAUAGAUGACAAUGUAUUUCAUGAUCGUCCGUCAUUGCAUAUAUUUAGUCGAAGAAUCAGACAAAACAAGUGAAAGUUAAGAUAAAAUGAAGAAGAAUAAGGAAAAAAUAUCUAAGCAUGGAAACUGGGGACUUAUUGAAAUUUUGAGUAAAAAAGGGAGCAAAAGUGUGCAACCACUGGAAUAAUCAUGCGCACCAUCACGUAGCAUCGUGCACACAAUGGGGUCUUUAAAGUUGCAUCGCGCAUGCGAUACAAGGAAUCACGCGCGUGAUAAAUACUUUUUAUGGGCUUUUCAGACGCGUUCUGGUCCAUUCUAACGCCUUUAAAAGGGGAUUUUCUGAACUUUCACAAGAGUUACAAAAUUGGGAGAUCUAGGCACUACUUUGAGAGCACAAGUGGUGAUUUUUAUAACAUUAGAAGUUAUUGGAGACCAUUACUUCAACGUAUUUCACAUGUUAUUUUCAUCUAUCAAUUAUGAUAUUUUUAAUUGCAUUAUGAGUAGCUAAGCUCCUCUAGAUUAGGUUGUAUACUGAUGAACCUAUUUCUAUAUUGUUGGAAUCUAUGUUGAUUUAACAAUUGUGUGAACCUUUUGAACUAUAAUUCCAUUCAAUUGCUUCUUGUUCAUAAUGCUUUUUAUGUGAGAUGAUAUUUUAAUAUGAUUUUGGGAACAUAAGGAAUACUGACCAUUAGUCUAUGUGUUGGACCUAGGGAAAUUGUUGUACUUACGCUGGUUGAAUAGGAAUAGGAGACCCUGAGUAGUGGCGUAGAGAAUUAACGCUUUAUACAUCGCCUAACCCUGCUUACGCUGGAGGACUAAGGAUAAAAAGCUCUGAGUGGUGGUUAGUGAGUUAUUUCAUGAGGGAUCAACUAUAACAGUUUUGUUAAUUCGUCGUGGUGUUAUAGUGAUAAGACCAUUCGUACAAGACAUCAAACAUCAACAAUAGAGGAAUAUGAGAUUUUAAAACACAACUUGGCCGCUUUCGUGAUAUUGUUUAAUUGUUUAUUUACUUUUUGCACAGAAACUCAACCCCCCCCCCCCCNNNNNNNNNNNNNNNNNCCCCCCCCCCCCUUUACUAGUUUUUUAUAAAUUGCACACAUUUUGUCUUGCUUGAACGAAGUUCACGUGGAUUCGAUCUUUUUAUUACUUCGACGAUGUCAAUACACUUGUCGAGAAGUCAUCAAGUUUUUGGCGCUUUUGCCAGGGACUAUUAAUUUUUCAUCAAGGCGAUGUUUGUGCAAUUUUUUUUAGUCUUUAAAUUUUAUGUUUUAUUUUCUUGUUUCUCAAAAUGCUAUUGAGGUAUUUUCUAUUUGUGUAUGUACCGUUCAGGAUCAACAUUAAUACCAUUGGAUCCAAAAAUUGAAAGAAACGCACAUGCUCUCAGAAAAGCUGUUAGAGGAGCAACUCUGGAAAGAGGAAUACUAGAAGAAGAGUAAUUAUCAAGUUAGUCAUACUCUGAAGAUGAAGCUGUAAUGGCAGAUGCACAACCCCUAACUAUGGGGGAUUAUUAUAAAUGAACCGAUGAAGGACACUUCUCCAGAGGGUUUGUACCGGUAGACCCUUCUAACUUUGAUAUUAAAAAUUAUGUGCUUUAAGGUUUGAGAGAAAAUUUGUUCGGCAGGAACACGAUUAGAGACCUAUGGGUGCAUCUUACACACUUCUAUGAAACAACUUCAAUGUGAAAAUCAAUUGAUGCCACUGAAGACCAGGUUAAAUUGAGGUUGUUUGGGUUCUCACUAAUUGGAAGGGCGAAGAUUGGUUACUUUUCCUCCCGAAUGGAACGAUACGAACAUGAAAGGAAUUAGAGGAUAAAUCCCUGGAAAGAUUUUUCACUACUACUCAGUUUACCGAGCGCUAAGCAGAAAUUGUGAGGUUUGAGCAGUAGGAAAUUGAGUCACUUUAUGACUCUUGGGAAAGAUUCAAACUUUUGUUACGCAGAUGCUCGAAUCACAACAUGAAUAAUAUAGAGCAGAUGCAAAACUUCAUUAAAGGUCUCAAAGUCAAACUCACGUAUUUUUGGAUGCUUCUACGAGAGGUACUAUCUGAAAAAUGAAUGAACCAUGGGUAAAAGAUAUCAUUGAGAAAAUGUGUAUAAUUGAGUACCGAUCCAAGAACGAAAGGUCGAUCAAGAUGGGAACUGUGGGCACGCCUAAAGGUAUGUUACCUAUUGAUACCCACAUUGCUCUUUUAGCUCAGAUUGAAUUAUUAAAUAAAAAGCAAGCUGGAAGAAGCUUAGUUAAAGCUAACGUAAGUCAGGUACAAGCACUUAAAAGCGAUUUAUAUGGAGGAUAACAUGCGAAUGGAAGUUGUUCAUUGGAAGGGACAAGUGAGGAGGUAAAAUUUUAUAAUUUUUAAAAAAAAUAACUUGUAUUCAAACACAUAUAAUCCGGGUUAAAAAGACCACCCAAAAUUCCUUUGGAAUAAUAAUCAAAAUUCAAAUGCUAACUAAGGGAUGCAACAAAGCCAACAAGCUCUGUUUCAAAGAAAUCCAUCACAAAUGGUAGAGACCUUGAAAAUUUUCAUUAAGGUCACUCAAAGUAGCUUUGCUAGGGUAAAUAAGACCCUUGAAGAAAUGAGUAGAAACUAGGAUGCGUCUAUCAAAAUUUUGGAGAUGAAGAUUGGUCAAUUAUCCAGACAAGUAGCUACUUUUCCAAGCUCAAGUGGAGGAUUCACCAGUAACAUUGUUGAUAACCCUAAGAAUGAUAACCCUAAAUAUAGGUUUAGGGGAAAUUACUGAAAAGGAUAAGGAGGAGAUAGUUAAAGAACGUGUGGUUAAGAUAGAUGAGGGUACAAAUCAAGGUGACCAAGAGGAAAGAGGAGACAUCAUUGAUCAACUUAUUGACAAAAAUUCUCCUCGGGGGAGAACAAAGAAGCAGAUCAUGACUGAACCAAAUCCUCCUUUACCAGAUCACGUAAAACCACCGUACCCAAUAAUUAAAAAGAAAGUGGUUUAAGAUGAUGAAGCGAGAAUGUUUGCAAAGUUCAAGGAAAUUCUAGCUACUCUCCGGGAAAGUAUUUCGUUCCAUGAAAUUUUAGAACUAAUGCCUAAGUUUGCUAAAUUUAUGAAGGCGUUACUAAAUGGGACGGAAGAGAAAAGGAUCAAGGAACAUGUAAACAUGACCGAAAAGAAUGAUAUGGUAAAACCUCAAUCCUUACAACCUAAACUAAAAGACUCAAGUAAAUUUAUGAAGGAGUUAUUAAAUGGGACGAAAGAGAAAAGGAUCAAGGAACAUGUAAACAUGACCGAAAAUGAUGAUAUAGUAAAACCUCAAUCCCUACAACCUAAACUAAAAGAAUUAGGUAAGUUUACUAUUUCCUAUAAUAUUAGUGGAUUCAAUAUUCUGCAUGCUCUAUGUGAUAUGGGAUCUAACAUAAAUGUCAUGCCACCGAAAACUGUCAAAGAAUUAAAAGUGGGUGAGAUCACACCGAGUAACAUGACUCUCAGUCUAGUUGAAUUGUCUAUUACUCAUUCAAUUGGUACUUUACGCGACAUAUUAGUACCUAUCGACGACUUAUUGUUUCCUAUAGAUUUUAUAGUGCAUGAUACAAAAGAAGAUUCGGGAGGAUCUAUUAUUCUUGGACAUCCAUUCUUGGCAAUCGGGAAAGCAAAAGAUUGAUGUGUAAACUGGUCAACUUAUCUUGAAGUCAAAUAAAAGGAAUGUGGUUUUCAAGGUAUAUGACUGGACACCUUAUGUGGAUAAUUUGGAUACUUUCUACUAUCUGGAUGAAAAAGGUAGGAAAGUAGAUAAAGGAACAAUGAGAAAGAAAGUGACAGGCGUGAGGGUGUCCCUUGCGCCUGACGUACCUUAGACAUGGAUUAUCAAGCUAGUGAUGUUAAAAAAGUGUUUGAUGGGAGGCAACUCAUCAAUAAGAAUUUAUUUUUUUAUCAUAGUGAAUAUUAAUUUUUCUAACCUUGUUAAUUUUUGUGCUAUGUUAUUGGAAGAGAAAAUAGGUGAAAGAAGAAAAGAAAGAAAAAGCAAAAGGGAAGAAAAUAGAAAAAGAAAAGAGAGAGGAAAGUUUCAUCCCCCAGAAUCAUCACGUAUGAUAAUAUAAACUAGUUCUUUACAAUAAUAAAAUUUGAUAUUUAUUUAUACAAACACAAUUAUAUAAAGAGAAUAACACACAAAUCACACAUGAUAAUUUUAGAAUAAUUAUACUCUAAUAUUUUUUGAGUCGUGAUAUAUCCUCUUCUUAAAUAUUUGAAAGUUGAAUCUCUCUCACUAAUCUCUAUUCCCCUAUUUAUUUUAAGAAUAAACAUAUUGAAUUAAUAAAACAUAAUUGCACCUUUCUUAAAGGUUAUACAAACAACUACUAAAGUUGAAAAAACUAAAGAGAGGUCAACUCAAUCUUUAUCAAAUUAAAUUAAAGUUUAUUAUAAAACACAAACAACUAGUUCAUUCAAAUGAUAACUUGUUUAGUACACAAGUAAGAUCUUACUUAAUACAUAGAAAUAAGAUCUUACAGAAUAUAGAGAUUAAAAACAUAGGAAUAACAUGAAAAGCUUUUAAAAUGACAUAGACAUUGAUUAACAAAGAUAUGAACUAGUUUCGGGUAUUUCUUAACCAUCCGUCAAGGUAAACUUGUUUGGAGUCAGGGGUGGAUUUUGCUUUCUCGACUCGGAUAUCUUUCAACCAUCCAUCAAGGUAAACCUGGUUGUUGUCAGAGGUGGAUUUUACUGUCUCGGCUCGGAUAUCUUUCAACCAUCCAUCAAGGUAAACUUGUUUUGGAUCAGAGGUGGAUUUUGUUUUCUCUGCUCGGGUAUCUUUCAACCACCCAUCAAGGUAUACUUGGUUGGAGUCAGGGGUAGAUUUUAUUCUCUCGUUUCGAUAAUCUUUCAACCAUCCAUCAAGGUAAACUUGGUUGGAGUCAGACAUGGUUUCUGUUUGCUUUGCUCGAGUAUUUUUCAACCAUCCAUCAAGGUAAACUUGGUUGGAGUCAGAGGUAGAUUUUUCUUUCUCAGCUCGGGUAUCUUUUAACCAUCCAUCAAGGUAAACUUGUUUGGAGUCAAGAUUUUUCUUUCUCAGCUCGGGUAUCUUUUAACCAUCCAUCAAGGUAAACUUGUUUGGAGUCAGAGGUGGAUUUUGUUUUCUCUGCUCGGGUAUCUUUCAACCAUCCAUCAAGGUAAACUUGAUUGGUGUUAGGCAUGGACUUUUCUUUCUCAACUCUGAUAUUUUUCAACCAUCCAUCAAGAUAAACUUGGUUGGAGUCACUUGUAGAUUUUGUUUUCUCAACUCGGGUAUCUUUCAACCAUUCAUCAAGGUAAACUUGGUUGGAUUCAGAGGUGGAUUUUGCAUUCUCUGCUCUGGUAUCUUUCAACCAUCCAUCAAGGUAAACUUGGUUGGAGUUAGGUGUUGACUUUUCUUUCUCAACUCUGCUAUCUUUCAACCAUCCAUCAAGAUAAACUUGGUUGGUGUCACCUGUAGAUUUUGCUUUCUCAGCUCGAUUAUCUUUCAACCAUCCAUCAAGGUAAACUUGGUUGGAUUCAGAGGUGUCUUUUGCUUUCUUUGCUCUGGAAUCUUUCAACCAUCCAUCAAGAUAAACUUGAUCGGAGUUCUGGGAGGAUUUGGUUUUCUCUGAUCGUGUAUCUUUCAACCAUCCAUCAAGAUAAACUUGGUUAGAGUUAGCAAUGUGUUUUCGACUCUUCAAUGGAUUUUUGAGCCAACCAUCAAGGUAAGGUUGAUCAGCUUGUAUUUCUUGUACAUUCUCUUGCUGAAGUUUGAUAUAUCGGGCAAAGCUUCCUUGUCCAUUCUAUAAUACAAUUGAAUAAAUGGAUAUUAGUGAGUUAUUUUUGGAUGGUAUAUAUGAUUACAAAAACAAAAUUAUGUGUUUUAUGAGACACAUUAUGUUACAUAAAUAAGACACAUUCAUUGUAUAUUUCAGAUGGAUAUAGAAUGCGAAAUAAAAAUCAAAGAAAAACAAUUUUUUAAAUUUCAUUGCCGCAUAGAAAAUAUUAUUUUGUCAAAUUAAAUAGAACAACUUGAUUAAGUGAAUGAUGAAAUCAAAUCAAAUAAAGAUGCAAAAUGAUAGAUUGUGAUAAAUAAAUGAUGAAAAAUAUAUGUGUAAAAGAUACAAGAAUGGAUGCAUAACUUACAAUCAAUAAGAGCAUGAUAAAAGGGAGGAGAGACAAAACAUCUUUGUUUGUCAUUUCUUUAAUGUUAUGAUUUUGUGGGAAAAUUGUUUUAAUGUAAAAAGAUGUAUUGAAAUGGAAGUGAAUUGUGCUAUUUAUAAGUGAAUGAAAAGAAAAACUACAUUAAGGACAUUGAGACUUUGGUUGGCAAGAUUAUUUUUUUAAAUAUUUAGUUUAAAUUAUUUUUUAAAUGUUUAGUUUAAUUGAUAAGUUUAUAUGUCUAAGAAAGAUCAAUUUACUAAGAUUUAUUAUUUACAAGAUCUAUUAGGUGUGUUGUUUUGAGUUAUAAAAAAUAUUAAAAAAAUUGUUUGUUUGAUAUAUUUUUUUAAUUAGAAGCUCCUAACUAAAUCCUCUUAGUUUAAAAUAAAUAAAUUUUAGAACUGCUACUGCAAUUAUUUUUAUUUUAAAAUUAAAAAUGAUUUUCUAAAAAUCCUUAAUAAAAACAUAUUAAAAUGACAAAGGUGAUUUUGUUAAAUGUUAAACAAACAUUUAUUUUGAUAAGUUAUUUCAAAUAACUUAAAAUUUCAUAAAUUUAUUUUAAUUUAUAAUUAAAGUGGUAAUUAUGAUAAUCUCGCCUCUUGAGUUCUAAUAUUUGAGCUAAUAGUAUAAAUAUGUUUUAGUUGAAUUAGAAUUUGCAUUAGUGAUAGUUUCAAUUUUACAAUUAAUUAGACUAAAAUAUUGAUGUUCGUCAUAUAUAUAUAUAUAUAUAUNUAUAUAUAUAUAUAUAUAUUAAAUAGUAAUUAUAUAUUAUAAAUUUUAAUUUUGGGAAAAAAAUAUUAUUUCAAUAUUUUAAAAUUUUAAUAAUUAUUGUUUUAUAAAAUUAAUUAUAAUGAGUAUAAUAUUUUAAUUUUAUUAUCAUCAAAUAUACCCUACAUCAAAAUUCACAAACUUUAAAUAUAAAUAUCGGGAUCCACUUAAUUGAAUUGGAAUUUAAACAUCAAAAUUUAGACAAAUGUUAAAUUUUGAAGCACUUGGUUUUUGAAUCAUGACUCUUCUACAACCAACUCCUAGGGACUUACUACAUAGCCAACAAUGAAUCCAAAAUAGUUUCACAAGAAACACUAAAAUACUGUGUUGGCCUUUGCAUGUUUAAGAUGUUCACAUGUAGCUGGGGUUUGCGUGCUUAUGAGCUUACCUAAUAGUAAGUUAAAAAAACAAUAUAUUAUUAUACUGACCAGUCUAAAGAGAAAUAGAUAAGUUACUGUAUUUGUUAUUAUAAUCAAAUAUUAUCUAAAAAAGAAAUAAAUUAUAAGGAAUAUGUUUUCAUUAUUUUUAUCUUUAUUUAAAGAAUAUAAAUAUUUUUUAAUUAAUGAUAAAUAAUUGAUUUUAAAUGUGAUUACGGUUUAUAUCUUUAUCUAAGAAAAUAAAUGAUAAAAUGUGAAUACUCAUAUCUAAAAUUAAAUAUUUAUCCAAUUAUGUAGGCCAGCCUCAUAUUUAUUGUAAAAAUUUUAACAAAGUUUAAAAUAAUGAAAAUUAGAAUAAUGGUAUUCCUACAUUAAAUCUUACAUCAAAUACUUACAUUAAAUAUUUUUUACCGUAUUUAAACGAUGAAUAAUAUUUUUAUUUUUAAUAAAAAAAUAUUUAUAUAAAAAUGUUUUUAUUUUUAAAAUUAUUUUUAUAAUAAAAAUAUAAAAUUUAUCACAAAAUAAUUUUAUUAUCGUAUUAACUAUAAAAAUAUAGGUUAUAAAUCACAUAUUUCACUUAUAAUUCAUUAACCAGUAAAAUACAUAAUAUUAAUCAAAUUAUGAUAUUAAAAUAUGAAAUAUAUAAUUUGCUUAAUUAUUAUAUUUUAUAUUUUAAUGUCACAAUUUAUUUAUAUUAUUUAUUUUAUUAAUUGAAUAUAAUAAUAAGUAAAAUAUAUGGUUAAUCAUCUAUAUUUUUAUGAUUAAUACAAUAAUAAAAUUGAUUAGUGACAAAUUUUAUAUUUAUAUUACAAAAAUAAUUAUAAAAAUAUAUCAAAAACGAGUUUAAGACAACGUAGGAAAAAGUGAAGUGACACUCAAAUAUUAUUUGCUCAUUAAGCAAUCAGUUAAAAUUAAAGUGAAUUAACGAAUUAAGCAUAAAGUUUCACACAAUCAAAAUUAGGGAACAAUAAAUCAAUCGAACAAAACAAAACUACUAAGUUUUGAGUGUAAAAUUUGGUGUAAUAUUAAAAAUUAAAAAAAAAUUGAGGUUUAUAAGAUGUAAAAUUAUUUAUUAAACUCUUUUAAUAAAUUUAAUAUUAUGAUAAUUUAUUAUGAUAAAUAAUAUUUAAAAUAAGAAAAGAUUGAGCUUUUAAAGGAUGAAAUUCUAGUCAUUAGAUUAAAGAAAACAUCACCAAAACCUUAUUUCACAGAUGAAAUCGACUACAUAUAUGAUAUAUCAAUUUUCACGCUAAUAUUCUAUCAAUCACCAUAUUUUAUAGCCAUUAGACUAUUUAAUCAAAAUUAUUCAUAAUAAAUUUCAUUUGAUAUUUACUUUUUAAUAGAUAAUAAAGUAGAUAUAUUUAAUCUUUAUUAAAAAAUUAUUAAACAUUAUUGGUAUUAAAUAUGAUUUUAUUAAUUUUAAUUUUGAUAUAAUUAAUGGAUAUAAGUAUUGGCUCAAGAUAUAUCAAAGCCUUUGCCAAAUUUUUAACAAAGAUUUUAAUAAUAAAAAUUAUGAGUGUAAUAUUUAAAAUAAAAAAUUGAGCUUUUUAAAAUGUAAAAUUAUUGAUUGAAUUAUCAUAAAUCAGUUAAGUGUGUAUUUAUGCAAGAUGGGACAUCCCAUUUGCAGGGGCACAAAUUCAACCCACAACAUCUCACUUUUUAUCUUGGAAAAUUCCAAUCAAUAAAUUACUUGAUCCAAAAAAAUCAUAGUAAAUCUUGUUUGAUAUUUAUUUUCAAUCAAAUAUAUGUAAUCCUUAAUGAAACCUUAAACAUUAUUGAUUUUAAAUAAGAUUUUAUUAACUUUAAUUUUAUACCAUUAAUAGAAGGACUAUAUUCUGGAACGAAUUAAUAUAUUUUCGUUAUUCUUAUUUUUAUUUAAAUAUUUAAAUAUUAUUUAAAUUAAUAAUAAAUAAUUGGUUUUAAAUGUGAUGAAGUUUAUAUCUUUAUCCGAAAAAAUAAACGAUAGUGAAUAUUUAUAUUAAAAAAUAACACAAUACACUUAAAUAUUUAAUCUCCUUAACCUAUCUAAAUAUCUAGGCCGGCAUAAGACAUAUUGAAGUUUAGUGUAAAAAAUUUAACAAAGCUUUUAAUUAUAAAAAUUAUGACUGUAACAUUUAAAAUAAAAAAAAUUGAACUUUAUUAUUAGAUGUCAAAAUAUUUAUUAAACACUCUUAAUAAGUAUUAAAUAUAAAUUUAUUAAAUUUAUUUUUGAUACAAUUAAUGAAUAUAAGUACGGGCUCAAGAGAUAUACACGCCUUUGAUAAAAAAUUUAACAAAGAUUUUAAUUAUAAAAAUUAUGAAUAUAACAUUUAAAAUAAAAAAGUUGAUCUUAAAAGAUGUAAAAUUCUUUAUAAAAUUAUUAUAAUAGUUUUUGAUUAAUUAAUAUGCACAGUCAAUAUCAUUUUUUUAUUAUUAUUAUUAUUAUUAUUAUUAUUAUUAUUAUUAUUAUUAUUAUUAUUAUGCGUCGGUGUACAACUCAUAAAAAAAGACGUCAAUCAUAAAUAUAUAUUGGUACAGUGUCGUCAAUUGGAUUGACGCAUCCUCGUAGGUGUUAUAUGCAGGGAUGAAGCUAGAGAUUUUGAACUGUAGGAGCAAUAUAUUAAUAUAUAAAUUUAUUUCUAUUUAUUUUUAAAUCAUAAAUAUAUAUUUAAUUUAUUUUUAAAUCAUAAAUAUAUAUUAUAUCUAUUUUUUAAGAAAUCUAUCUCUAAAACAAUUUUUAUUAAUUUUUUAAAAUUUUAAAAUUUUAAAAUUUUGUAAAUUUUAAAAUUUUAUUAUCAAGAAAAAUAUUUUUUUAUGUAUUUUUUAUGAGAUCAUAAUAUUAACAUAAAAUUCUAUAAAUCAAUUUUUUUAAAGAUCGAGGAAAAAAUUAUUUUAAAAUUAUAACAAGAAAAACAAUUCAAUAUAUUUCAUCUGACAUGUUUUAAUUUAAUUAUUGAAAAUAAAAAAUUCACUAUAUUUUUGGACAAUAUCCUAAAUAAAUAUUCAUAUACUUUAUUAUUUUCAUCUAAUUUUUAGUAAUAUCUUCAUAAUAAUAAUAUUAUUUAUAUAAAUUUAAAAUAAUAUAAAUUUAUAUAUAUAUAUAUAUAUAUAUAUUUAUAUAUAUUAUAUAUAUAUUAAUAUAUAUUAUAUAUUAUAUAUAUAUAUAUAUAUAUAUAUAUAAUAUAUAUAUAUAUAUAUAUAUAUAUAUAUUAUAUAUAUUAUUUAUAGUAGGGACCAUUUGUCUUAUGCUAUUUUAAUUUGUUAUUUCUUAAUUUCCCCGUCUAUUUCAGUGUUUGGAUUAAAAAAAGGGGGGGGUCGGGGGUUCCCUCUUGGGGGUGGGUUUAGUAUUUUAAUGUUUUUUUACUUAAUAUUUCUUUUGUGUUUUUCACAUUCUUCUAUGUCUUAGAUUGACGUCUUCUUUAUUUUGAAAGUGGGUUACUCUCAGAAAUAAUUGAAAAAGUAAAUUAUUUUAGAUAUCUAUUUGAAAAGUUAGAAAAUCUUAAAUAUUAUUCAUUUUAAAUAAUAUUUUAUUAAUAUAAUUUUUAAUACCAUUAAUAGAAGGACUAUAUUCUGGUAUCAACCGAAAGGAUUAUAUUAUUGGACUAUUUUAAAUUUCCUAUUAUAUUGUUGUCGUCUAUUAUCAAUUUAUUUUAUCAAUAAAUCACUAUUUGAAAUUUUAUUAGUAUUUAAGUCUUUAAAUUCAUCUACACCUUUGACUUCUACUAUUAAUUUUCAUUUUCAUUUUUUUAAUGUUUAUAUAACUGGUACAUUGUUAACUUGUUUAUUUAAUAAACAUUAAGCAAUAUUUUUAAAUUAACUUUUUAAUUUAUUUUUAUAAAUUUAUCUAAAGUUCCCUUUUAUAAUUUAAUUAAAAUUUCAACUCUCUUUUUUUAAUUUCUAAUUUUUUUUAUUCAAAUUUUUUUAAUUGACAUUACUCUAAAUAACAUAAUAAAACAAUUUCCACAAUAAACACAAACAAAAAAAAAAUUCAAAAAUAAGAUAAUUGAUUAAAUAUAAAUGAUUUAAAUUAAAAGUAAAUAAAAUAAAAUUGCAUAAAUAAAAUAUAAUUUUAUCCUUUUACAAUGCUAGAGAGGACAUACACUUUAUCAUAGAAGUAACGAUUAAUUAAUGGAGAUGAUGAAUUAACAUAUUUUAUACUCUCAUAUACACAUUUUAGGUUGGAAAUGAUUUGAUAUAAUCCUUUAUCUAACCUGUUUAAAUUUUAAUGGGUUGAAUUUGUCGUUCAACCCACAAUUUCAUUGUCAAAAUUGACAGAAACCGACUUGUUUAUUUAAGGGUUGUGUUCGCGAUGUUUUAAAUAAAAAUUAUUUUUUUAUAUAUUUUUUAAGAUAUAAAAAAUUUAACCCAAUUCAAAUUAGAUGAAACACAUCAUAUAAUGUCUAAUAAAGUUCAUCAACACGACAUAACACUCGAUAAUAGUAUUAAAUUCUAAUAGUAUCAAUGUUAAAUUAUUUUAAAACAAUUAUUUUAAUUAACUCUUUAAUCAUAACAUUUAUUUAUUAUAUUUUUAUAAUACAUUAUAAUAAAUAUAUUAUAAAUAUUCUUAUUUUUAAUUAGAAAUAUAUAAUGAUAAGUUAAUUAAAUAAUUAUGGUUUGUGAAAAACAAAAACAAAAUCAACGUCAAAGUUAUAUGCUUCAACAAUUUAUAUAAUGACUCAUUUUUAAAUAAAAUAGCUUUAAAAAUUAAAAGUUUGAAAAAUAAUAGUUGAUAUAUUAUAUAUUUUAUUUAUUUUUAUGUUGACAAUAUAAAACAUAGACAUUAAUUUUAUUCUUUAACCAUAAUUUUUAUAAUAUAUUAAAAUAAAAAGUAGUUAAAAUUAACUAAUAAAAUUAAUUAUAAAUAGUUUAAAUAAUUUAAUUAUUAUCAAAUAAAAAUAUAUAAAAUAUUUAUUUAGUAAAGAAUAUUAAAACGAAUAACAAAUUAUAUGAGAUGAUAUGACUUUUUUAUAAUCUUUUGUUUUCUUAAGUUAAAUUAUUUAGUAGAUAAAAAAAAAAAUUAAAAUUGAUAUAUUUCUCUCUCUUCUUUAAAUGAUAUUUUUUUUUCUAUUUCUUACCUUUUAAUAGUUGGAUUAAUCAAAUGGUUUAAAAUUGCACAUGAGAGAGGGCAUAAGAGAAAAAAUUGGAGAGGAUCCAAUUCCGAUAAAAAGAUGUGGUAAAUUUAUGAGUAGUUUAAUAAUUUAUACAUAUUUUUAGCCUUAUUAAUUGUCACUUCGUUGAAAAAGAAAAAGGAAAUAAUAAUAAUGAUAGUGAUAAUAAUUAAAUAAUAUUGAAUUUUUUGACAAAUAAUGUUAUUAAAUAUUAUUGAAUAUAAUAGAUGAAAGAGAAAAAAAAAUGAAGAUCUUUGUCUGGCUUACCUCCUCGUUGAAUAGGGUAUGCUAACUAUUAAUAUGCCAAAGCCUCUUUAAAAAAUUAAACAAAUCAAUUAUAGGAUCCGAUAACUAUUAAGGAAUUUCUUAUGUCAUCAUAUGAAAUGGAAAAACUAUACAAAAUUUAAAAUAUUCAUUCAAGUUUAAAGAUGCAUCUUCGAAUACACAUUUGUAUCACCUUAUGACGCACUAAAUGAGCGACACCCUAAAGUAAAAUAAAAUCUUAUUCCAAAGAUACAUCUCUGAGUAUUUUGAACAAAUAUAUUGAUAUUUAAGCAAGCGUCCUCAGCAUGACCAGAUACCUGUAUCAUACACUCAGUUGCUGUCGUAUCUUGUCCAGUAAGGGGCAAUUGCGCCAAAAGAGAUUCCGCAUGCAACUCCUCCCUAAAAUCACAAGCAUAAUCCUAAUGUGCCUUGUUCAUUUCAUGUCGGAUACAUAGGGCAUUCUAUAGAGGAUUAUUUGGUCCUCAAGGCCAUAAUGCAAGAGUUAAUUGACCAUAAGGUUUUGUCAUUCUUUGACGCAUGACCCAAUGUCAUAAACAACCCGUUGCCAGACCACUGUGGACAAAUAGUGAAUGCAGUUAGUGGCGAAGAUUGCUCAGAUUCAGUUGCUUCUUCAGAGGAGUAUCGAUGCUAGCAAUAUCAUAUUGAUUCAAUCAUGUAUCAUUUGUAAUCCUUUCUUGUUUUUUAAAUGUUGUUCAUUUGUAACUUGUCUGGUUUUUCAGAUGAUAAUAAUAAUGAAAUAAACGUGCAUGUUUUGCUUAAAUCCAUUCGUGUCCACUCAUAUUUUAUUUUAUCAGUAUCAAACUGUUUGUCGAACAAAAUCAAAAGAGAAUGAUGCAAUUAAAAAUACGCAAGAUCGCUGCCUGUAUGGUUUUGAAUAAGAUCGUGCUGAUGAUGUAAGGCAUUGUUCAAUCCCUAAACACCGGAGAUAUAAGGAAGAUAAUCCCUAGUCAACCCCUUUGGGUAUUGUAAUAGGAGUUUCUUUCUUGAACACAUAAAACCCUCAUGCUUAACCAGGGGCAGAGUAUUCUUCAGUUAGUUUAGACUUGCAUUCAAAUUUAAGAAGGACAAUAUCUCAUCCAGUGAUCAAUCAUAUCAUAUCCCUCUCAAGAGGAUGGAAUCAUAAAUCCAGGAUGGUUAUCCCUUACCCAUCAAAAAGAGUGAGAUAAUCACGACUCGUGCAACAAAUCGAGAAAGCUGUGUCACAAGGUUUUCUCUAGUACAAAAAUAAAAGAUGAAACAAAAUUAAAAGCCCGCUAAGUCAAAAGCUUGAAAACAAGAUUGACUUAGGCAAAAGUCAGGGUAUCCCGGUGGGAUGCAGACCCAAAGGAUCAGCCUAGGAAAAAAUAAGGGUAAACAAAACAAAAGAAUUAGAGGAUCAAUACCAAAAUUCGUAGCGAGAGCAAAUCCCUGUGACUAUAAACAAAAGCAGAAGGCGAGUGGCUAUCGCUCUAAAUUCUCGUGGAUUCCUUAAACCAUCAUUGUUGAUAUUCAAAAUCCUUUCUGAAAGACGAACGCUUAUUUUAAGCUAAUUGAAUAUAGAACUAGAUAACAUCACACAGAAUGGGUGGGUUAGAAUAGGUUUUGAGCCUUAUAUCCUUUCUUUCUGAAACCGUGAACUAGGCCAAGUUACAACCCUCAAAAGACCUAAUUGAAGUAGGGUUUAUUUCAAAAGCAUACUAUGGUAAGAUCGCGUUAAGCUGACUCCUUAAGAUUUUCUUGUCAUAUGUUUGAUACUGAUAUGGCAUUCUAAACAGUGAUUUGUUCACUAGAUGUCAUAAUCUUAGUGAACACACUUGAGUUUUCAAAACUUGCAUGAGCAUGACAUUACAAUUAUCAUUUUAAAAAUGAGCGUUUUACAUGCGAACAUGCAUUUGACACCAAGGAAGCUUACAAUGGGAAAGUUGAUCAAAUUCCUAAUAUCCCAUAGCUCAAAUCUCUUCAAGAGCCCGUCAAUCUAAGGCACCAUGCCAAGAUUUUGCAAAUCUCUCUGAAUCAGCUGUAUAAGGGAAAAGUUUAAUUCGAAGUUCAUAUUGGGGAAGGCCACCUCAAGAGCAUGAGAAGUCAAUCACUCCUAAGAUAAUUAACUAGGAGGAUAUAGUUUCAAGAUGCUGGGGCAAGCCAGUUUGAGAUACUCAGAUGACGAGAUCACUCUAAUUUGUAAUUGGAGAAAUUGGUGCAGAUAUCCAAUACAUUGGGGCAGAGGCAGGCUACGCAGGUACAAGCUCUCUCCAUGUUCUAGACAUAAUCCAGAGGUGUGACAACAAUUUUUCAGCUUGAAGUAGGUUCGAAGAAUCACGUCUGGAGGAUACCAUAUCCUAGCCAAAAAUUUCCACCUCCCUCUAUAUGAGCACCUGGAUUAACCAUUGCAUAAAUCAUUAUCAUGAAUAAAUCACGUCGCUUCACUCAUGCAUACCAUUCAUCUAUCAUAGCAUGAAGCCGUGUGUGAGAAUCAAAGGAAUUAAAGCCCAGUAUUUUAUUGGCAUCUCCAAAUUCCAAACUUGCCUGGUACCUUUUUAAACCAUCUAGUUUGACAAUUCUUCCAAAAUCCAAUUUGCUUGGCGUCUUUUAAGCCCAGUUUGCUUGGUAUCUUUUUUCGACCUUUAGGGUCGAUGAUCCUCUUUUCCAACAUUCAUGGUUGAGGAACCUUUUUUCAAUCUUCAGGAUUGAUAACCUUUUUCCAAUCUUUAGGGUUGACGAUCUUUGUUUCUAACCUUCAUGGUUGUUGAAUCUUUUUCCCACCAUUAGGGUGAUGAUAGACUUUGUUUCCGGCCUUUAAGGUUGAUGAUCCUCUUGCUUUCAACCUUUGCGGUUGUUGAAUCUUCUUCCAACCAUCAUGGUUGUUGAAUCUUUUUCCUACCUUUGUGGUUGUUGAAAAUUUUUCCAAACCUUCUUGGUUGAUGAACUUUUUCAAUCUAUGUGAUUGACAAACUUUUUUCCAAACUGUAAGGUUGAUGACCUUUCUUUUUUUCAAACCUCUGUGUUUGACUUUGUUUCCAGUUUUUGAACUGAUGAUUCAUUUGUGAAACCCCUUGUUUGCAAGAAUAUUUUGGAACUUUCAUGCGCUCUUUGAUUAGCAUACAUGGCCACAUGUUUCAAAAAUGAUAAAAAAAAAUACAAUUUAGCAUGCAUAUCAUGAUCGUCAUUUGCCAUUAAUAUCCCCACAGUACAUCAAAAUCACCAGCAAAUAAACCCGUAAAAAAUCAAGUUGAUAUCCCUAUAUCUCAUACAAUUGUCCUUCAAGGAAAAAAAUUCGGAUACUUCGAUAUUUAAUCCACGCAUACCUUAAAAAGCUGAAAAGCUCUCGCAAUUCGACCAUUCAGGUCUAAGCUGAUUAAAUAGGGGCAGAUGUCGUAUCCUAAAUUUGUCCUCCCUAUUUCAUCUUUCCACUCAAUUUAUCAACUUGAGAUUCAUCUGUACCACAUUCAUAUUUCAUUCAUAUGCAUCAUUCAUUAAUCAUACAUUCAAAGCUUGUGGCCUGCAAAUCUAAGGUUUGUUGAUGGGACAUGGCUCUUCAUAGGCUCAUCAUGUGAGGGGAAACCCUAAUUUCAUACUCUUUUAGACUUUGAUUCAAAAAGGUUACAAUCACGACAUUCAUUUAGUCAUUCAAACCCUUAUUCCUGACUUUGUUGUCUUUCGGUCUCACAAGCUUUCACCUGUGUAUCAUGAAGCCCUAAUCAGGGAAGAUUUGGUCCGGUUGCACCUUAUGGCUUGACUUUUCAUCUUGUGUGUGCUGGAAACCCUAAUUCAUUAGGGAGAGGUGUUUGACUAUCCUAUUAUGCAUGCCUACUGGUUUGGAAUUGCACAUGAUUCAGGUCUUGUUUCAAGCAUCCCUAUGCCCAUCACAUUUAACUUUGCAUAGGCCAUUAACUCAAGUCUUUUGGUAUGGGCAAAUGCAUAGACCCAUAUGCCCGAUUCACUUCAUUCAUAUGAUGCAGAUGAUCAAGGAUGAUUGGUCCAUUUAAGAUUUGGUUCCAUUGGUUCAUUCUUUGUUUCUUAAGCAAAAUCAUUAUUUCAUUUGAAUUAUGUCAUGUGAAAACCCUAAUUCAAAUUUCACAGUUGACUUCGAUUAACUAGUUUACCAAAGUCAACCAUCCCUUUUUGAGUCCAUUAAACUUUUUCAUUAAUCAUUCACACUUAAUCACAUUUUUCGAGCUAUUUGAUGCAUCCAAUUCAUUCAAUUUUCAAAUGUAAUUUUGACCAUUCCAAACAUUUUAACCAUUCAAGGUUAACAAUUUAAGUUCUAUAAACCAUCUUCUUUUACAAUAUAUUUCCACUCAUAAACUUUCCAUAAGCAUUCAAAAUUUUCCAUCAUAAAUAUCAUUCAAUACAAUAAACUUGUCCAUGGUUCGCGCAUUUAAUCCUUUCUUUCCAUCAUUUAUUUGCAUUGCAAUUCUAUUCAUCCAAAGUAUCAAACUUUUCAUAAUCACCAAGUUCCAUUCCAAUACAUUCAAGUUUUACCUACAACUUUCCUUUACAAUUAUUACAAACCAUUGUUUUACAUUGUUACACUAUGUAUCAACCAUAUCCUACAUAACCAUAUUAACCAUUCCAAAUGAUCAAGCAAGAUAGAAUUUCAUUCACUAACCAUACAAGAUAUCUCAAGCAUACAUUUCCAUUUCAAGCUACAUUAUAAUGCAUCAUAAUCCAACAAUAUCAUGAAGCAGCCCAUGGCCUCUUAUGCAUUCACUAGAAAUAUUUCCAUAGCACAAAUUGGCCAUGUCCCAAAAGAUAAUGCACAAAAAAAGCAUGAAAUAUCAUGAUUCUGUUAGGCUCUGUUUUGAAAUUAUUUACCUGAUGAACAACAGACAUAAAUGCCGAUCGAGGUUAUAUGGAAGCUUCAAAUACUGAAAAAGAAAACACACCCAUUGCAUUGAUGGCUACAGCUCUUCCUUUGAAACGCCAUUGAAGCUUCAAUUCGUGGAGCUUAAACCACUGCACCUCUUCGACCUCACGCGGAAAACGCAACAACAGCAUAUGCUUAGAAGAACAGAGGGAGAGGAAUAAGAUUGCAGCAACAUAACAGAAAGAGUGAAGGAACAAAAUUGAGACGAAGAAAAAGGGAAGAGAUCGGUCAAUACCUGUUCGCAGUUGAAGCAUCAAAUUUGGUAAGUCCUUUUGAUUUUCUUUUCUUUCUGUUUAAGUCCGCGAGCACAAUGUUGGAUGGAAUCACAUGUCGAUGAGGUUGAACACAAUCCAUGAACUCUAUUAUCUGUUAGAAUUAGAAUAUUAGGUUAUUAAGUGACAAUUAGAAAUUGUGAUUUAAUUAGAAUUCUAGUAUUGAUAGAUUUUGGAUUUUCAUUAGAAUUAAUUAGAAAUUUUAGAAUUUAACUAGGGUUUUAGAAUCUAUUUUAGACUAAUUAGAUUUUCACAUAAUUAUAUAUAAUUAUAAUUAAUUAGUUUUUGAUUAAAUGUUGAUUAUUAGAAACUAUUUUCCUAAUUAAUCCAUUUAUGCAUAUUGACUAUUUUACCCUUUAGAGGUUAUGUUUGUCAUUUUAGCCAUAAGGACAUGUUCCUUUAGGUUUAGAUCUUGACAUCAAUUUUUAAUCAAGUCUUGACCAAUUAUAUCAUGAUCCCUUAGGAUAGUUUGUAACAAAUUCUAACCAUUAGAUUAGGAUUUAAUCUAGUUUUCAAACUAAUUCAAACCUUCUGAUUCAAAUUGAUCAAAAGCAAUUUUGAUCAAUUAAAUCAUUUGAUAUUGUAUAAUCCCACAGUCUAAUUUGAGUGACACAAAUACUCUUGGUCACCUAAUGAGACUUUUUCGGUAAGUUGUGGAGCUCGAGGCCUCAAGUCAUAUUUUCAAUCAAGGCAUCAUCGGUCAGACCAAGCAGUGGAUAAUACAAGGUACAUCAAAGGUGGCAUCUUUGAGAGCUUGUCAAAUCAAAGUUAUGAUUGUGUGGCAUGAGCCUUGAGUAAUGAAGAAAGAAUGAGACUGAAGAAUUCCUACCCCCAUCAACACAAAGGGCAUCAUGUCAGCAACUUGUUAAUUUUGAUUCAAGUUGCAUGCCAUGAGCCUUAAGAAACAAAGAAUGAUGAGAGUGGGGAAUUCCUAUCCUUGUCUAGAAUAUUCUUGGGUACGGGACGAAUGACCCAGUUGCUCAAAGUAUUCGCCUUUUUCCAUAGACUUUGGUGCAAUUUAAAUCAUGCAAUUGACAAGCCUUCUUCUUCAAGCAAGCAUCAAUCAUUCAACACUUCAAUAGUGAAACACCAUUACCCCCUUUAGUAUUGGACUUUCCUCCUGGAUGUUCAUACAUUUCUUGGGAUUAUUACCUUGGGGUCACAUACCCAUCUCGCAAUCAAUUGCUUCAUGCAUUGCCUAUCAGUUCACACUAUGGCAUACUUCAUUGCUUGCCCUCAACGUACAGACCCUGACAUUCAGCCUAUGGAGUACAUACUCUGGCUUUGUUUCUUCCCCAUAAGGUACAGACCUUGGCAACUUCUUGCAGCCCAUAGAGUAUAGACUCUGGCUUUAUUCCUUGCCUACAACAUACCGAUCUUGGCAUCCUUGCCCUAAUGAGUUCAGACUCUGGCCAUCUGAUUUUGUCUAUACAGUACUGACUUUGACAUAUUAUUAUGCCUUAUAGUUAAGACUUUGGAAUUCAUUCAUCCAGCCCAUUGGGUUCAGACUUUGGCAUCGUACUAUUUUGCCCUUAUGGAGUUCAGACUCUGGCAUUCAAAUCAGUUCAUUUGCCUUAUAUAGUUCAGACUAUGGCAUGCUUAUACAUCUUGCCCAUGGAGUUCAGACUCUGGCAACCUUUAACAUUGUCUUGAAGUCAGACUUUAGAAUUAUAUCUCCUUUUCCCUUAUUGAGUUCAGACUCUGAGAAUCUGUUCCUUGCCUUUGUAUUAGUUCAGACUAUGGAAUUCAUCUAUCUUGCCUUGUGGAGUUCAGACUCUGGCUAUAUCUCAUUUGUCCUUAUGGUUGAUUACCAUCUUUGGUAAGUGUCAUACUCUCGCUUAUUAAGCAAUCACCUUGCCUCUGAGCAAUCCUAUCAAAUCUCCCUUUGCUUUCAGUUGUAGUAGGCUAAACUACGAUUGCUCUGAUUUUCUCAUUGCACGAUGAGAAUACAUAGGCACAAGGGUUCAAAUCCUCCGUGAGCAUACUUAUUUAUUACUCCUACCUUAGGGCAUUUCUCCAUCCAUCUCCAUGAUACAGUCAUAUACUACCUUUAUUCACUUCAUGUGAUAUACCCUAUUCUUUGAGCCAAAUACAUUAUACCUUUGUGCUCCAUCUUGUACCCCUUUGUGAACCAAGAGAUGUUUCUGUUGUGAAACCAAAAUUAAUUUCCUUUGUUUUCGGCUAUACCAUAUAGUGGCGAAUGUUCAGACAAUCCAUAUAUCGGUUUAUUCCAGUUUUACUCUUGGGUUCACGCUUUCACCCCUUGUUGGGGUUCAAAAUAUUAUCCUCUGGUUCAGGCCAUACCUUGAUCACAACUUCCUUUUCAUCUCCCACCACUAGUUCUUUGAACUACGAAGUUAUGAAUUCCUCAUUGCACUAUGAGUAUACAUAGGCAUGAGGGCCCUAAUCCUCACCGAGCACUCUAUCUAUUUCUUUUCAUUUUCCCCAUUCUUUUGCGAGUAAUCUUUAGAUACAACACUCAUUCGAGCGAGAACAAUCAAAACGGUUCCCAUGGAGUACCAUAGAUGUUAGGGAUGCUAAUACCUUCCCAUUGCAUAAUCAACUUCCUUACCCAACAUAUCUCUUUCCCCUGGGUUUUAUCGAUGUGUUCGGGUAUAUUUCCGCUAGCUGCAUCACCAACUCCAAAAUCUCAAAAAAGUGUUUUUAAAGGAACUCGCAUUAGCAAACCACCUCCUUCACCGUCUCUACCAAAAAUUUCAUUCAUUGACGAGAUGUUAUUUUUUUCAUAAAUACAUCGAACAAAUCGUCAAUGUUGAGGGUGACGGUAAUUGCGAUUUUCGAGCUAUUUCGAUUUUGCUGGGUAAAGGAGAAGAUGAUCACACACUUGUCUGCCAUCAACUUAUCCAUGGUUGAGGACCCAUAUAGAAUUAUACACACGACUUUACCGAAAGAAACAAAAUUUUGAUGCAAUUUAUGAGUCUUUUAUUCCUUGCAUUAGUGGUCCGAAACCAGAGGAAAAAUGAAUGUGCUUCCCUGAAAUGAGUCAUCUCAUAGCAAGUGCAUCUGAUAAAGUGUGUAUUGGUCUUACAAGAUACGAUUUUUUGGAAACUUUUUUUCCACUGCGCACCACCCAACCUCAAAAUCUAAAUGAUCGUAUUUUGUGUAUUAGAAUACCUUUAAAAUUACGACACUUUGUUCAAAUUUAUUUGAAACGGGAUGUCGUAUACCACUUACAUCAGUGGAGUGGACAACUCAUUCAACAAUAAAAUCCGGGACUUAGACGGGCCAAUUUAUGGAAAAGAUGCAAGAGUUUACCAAAUUGAGCGACAUUGAAAGUGAAUAUAAUGCACAAAAGUCAAAGGGGGAACCACUCAUACUUAUAAAUUUAGCCAUCGACAAAUAUUUCGAUUCGUUUUAGUUUUUCGUUAUCAAUUAAUUGUAUAUAAUUUUGUAUUAAUAGUAAGGGUUAAUAACAUUUUUAUAGAAACAUUCUAGUUGUACCUUGGGGGGAAUGACCCAUGAUUGAUGCUUACGUGUCAUGAUAAAUAUCAUGAUAUAUUUUAGUUUUUAGUUUUUUAAUUACAUAUAUGCUUACGUGGACUUACAGUUUUUUAUUUAUGAAUUAUUUCUAUUUUCAUGUGAAAAUUUAUUUUCUUUUUCAUUUAUUUUAAUCAUAACAAUUAUCAAAACUACUUUAAGAAAGUUCUAAAAUUUUGUCAACAAUGAAAUUCUCAUACGGAUUUGGCAAGGAACUUUGAAAGGAGAUUUGAAAGCGUGAACCACAACCAUAGAUAGGAAGAAGGAGAAUUAGGGUUCAACAUAGUUUGAACCGUGUUUAUGUUUAUGUUAGGGACCGAUUCGGGCUAGACCCAAUCUAGGUUCGGUUGAUCCACUAACCAUUAGUUUUUUUUUUAAAUUAUUUUGUGAGUAUACCAUUUGUUGUUUGGCCUUACCUAUUUGUGACUUGGGCAAACCCCACUUUAGGAGCCAUCUUGUCUUAUUUAUUUAUUUAUUUUUGUCUUUUCCUCAACCUUUUUUAUUGCAUUAAUAUUUUAGUAAAAGAAUAUAUAAAAAACAUAAACUUUUUCAUGAAAAAAAAGGUGGUUUACAAUUUUAUAAUAAUUGAUUUUUAUUGUUAUUUCAAUUUUUUUAUCAAUAAAUAAAUAAAAGUAGACAAAAUUUGUUUGAUGCGUGCCUUAGGGUUUCUUUUUCCUAUCAAGCUAUAUCUCAAAAGAAGAAUAUUUCUUUAAGAAUUAUUCCUUUUUUUAAAAAUAAAUUUGAUUCCAUUAUGGUUUGAUUUGUUUGAUCUUUAUUGAUUGUGUGAAUGCUUGUAUUGUUCAUACUUGAUCCAUGAUUUAUGUAACCUUUCACUUAGACCUUCGAUUGUUAGUAAGAUAAAAGUAAAUGUGCAAUAAAAUCAACCUUUUAAAAUAAGAUUCAAACACUCUAUCGAUAUGAAUUUGGUUUUAAAAAGAUCUCACUAUUUUCACCAUCCAUUCAAAGUUAAUUUCAAGUCAUCUCACAAAUUAUUUUCAUGCUAACACGAAUAAACCCUCGAUCAACAUCGAGUUUCUUUUUUGCUUAUUAAAAACUUGAAAAUCAUUUUCAUAAUAAAUCAGUUGAAAAAGGAAUGGGAGGCGCACACAUCUCUACUCCUCGAAUAAGUGAGUGAUUGGUAGACUCCAUAUUGCUCUAACUUUCAUCUUCCGAAUAAAAUAUCCUAAAUAAACAUGGAUGAAAAAGGAAGAGAGGCGCACACAUCUCUACUCCUCGAAUAAGCAAGUGGAAGACACACACCUCGCUACUGCGAAUAUUUUUUCUUCCGCAAAUAAUUUUCAAAAUAUUAAAAUCAAACAAAAAAGGAAUGGGAGGCGCACAACUUGUUGCUCCUCGAAUAAGUGAGUGAUUGGUGCGCGCCAUAUUGCUCGAGCUUUCAUCGUCUUCCUACAAAACACUAAACCAAUCAAACCUAUUUUCUCGCCCCCUUCGUUCAUCCCAAGACGAUGUAAACACGCUUCAUUUCUACCAUGCGCAAGAAGUUAUAACUCUUUUCGCUCGAAUGUGACGAGAACAAAUUUGUGAGAAUCUGGAUUAUGUUAUUCAUUCUAAUGUGAUGCCAAUGUUCACUUCUCCAUGUUUUUAGUAGCAAAUAAUGUUUUCGCUCGAAUGCGACUAAGUACCUUUCGUAAAAACUGAUCAACAAACAAAAAAUUUCUACCCAGAACUACGUAGCCUUGAGUUUUUCAUCGCACCUGAGAUAUGUAGAAGCGAGACCCGUAAUCUCGUCAGGCACAUUAAUAAAAGAAAACAUUUUGCGACCCAUUUUGUUUUCUCUUUACACUUUUGACCACUCGAAGAAAACAUAUGACAUAAGCUAAAAUUUCAACCACAAAUCUAACUAAAUGGUUCCCGUUGAGUGUAACAGAUGUGAGGGGUGUUAAUCCCUUCCCCUCGCAUAAUCGACUCCCAAACCUGAAUUUGAUUGUGACAAACAUUUUCUUUUUCUUUUAAGGAUUUUAUCAAUAUUUCCCCUCCUUUUUGGAAUAAAUCAAUUUUGAUGGUGACUCUGUUAUCUUGACCAUGCAAGCGCUCAUGGUCAUUUUUCGCGUCGCGACACUACUGUACAAUAGUUAUCUGUAUCAAAAACUAAAAUAUUUGUGUCUGUAUCUUGUUGUCUAGGAUUGUUGGAAACGAGAAGGAUGGAAAAAUAAAGUGUGUUUAUUUUUCUAUGUUGUAAAAUCACAAGGUGGUUUUUCUUGGUGAUUAAGUUAGAAUCUUGUGUAUAGAAUCUAGGUUUAGGCUUGUACAAAAUAAUAACAAUAUUGAAAUCUCUUAUAGUGUCUAAGGGGACUGACAUACUCUCAGAUUGUGAUGGGAACUAGUAUGAUUUUCGAUGUUAUUUACUUUAUGCACUUUACUGCUUUCACCACCUAACCAUAAACCAAAAAAUAAAGAAACAUUCAUCUCUAAAAACAAUGUACUUACAGCGAGAGCAUGAUAUUCCGCUUCAGUACAUGAACAAGACACAAAAUUUUGUUUCUUUAAGCGCUAUGAAAUCAAGGAGUUACCCCAUAACACAUAAAUGCUAGUGUAUAUUUCCUAGUAUCCAGACAACGUGCCCAGUCGAAGUCAGCAAAACCAUGCAGCUUUAAGGAAUUAUUGCUGGCAAAAAAAUGCCUCGAGUAGGAAAUGCCUUCAGAUACUUCAAAACUCGAGUGGCUUCCUAACGGUGAGGAACCAAGGGGUUAGCCACAUAUUGGCUAAGGUGACGGACAAUAAAAGAAAUACUUGGCCGUGUGUUUGUAAGGUAAAGUAGCCUGCUAAUUAAUUUACAAUAUGAAGAAGGGUCCUCUAAAGGAGUACCUUCACUAGAUGAGAGCUUCAUGUGAGGAUCAAUAGGUGUGGAGACAAGCUAAGCCCCAAGAAAACCAGUGUCCUCAAGCAGCUAGAGCAUGUAUGUUCUCUGGCUGAGAAAGAUACCAGAAGUAGAACGUGCAAUUUUGAGGCCCAAGAAGUACCUUAGUUGACUGAGAUCUUUAAUGCAAAAUUGUUGAUGCAGGAAAGACUUUACUUGUUUAUUCCACAAUCGAGUCGCUUGUCAAGACAAUAUCAUCAAUGCACACUGAUAAGGAAGUGAAACCAUGAGGUGUGAUCUUGGUGUAUAAUGAGUGACCAACAACAGAUUGAGAGUAGCCUAAUGAAAUGAGAGCUGAAGAAAGCUUAGAAUGCCAUUGUCGACUGACCUGUUUCAGUCCAUACAAUGAUUUUUUUAAGUGUACAAACCUUGUUGGAUUCAAGAUUACCAUAGCCAAGAGGAAGAGACAUAUAUACUUCUUUAUUUAGGUCUCCAUGAAGGAAGGAGUUUUUAACGUCCAGUUGCUCAAGGUGCCAGUGUUUGACAGCUGCAAGAGAUAAAAGAACACGAACAAUAGUAAUUUUGGCAAUUGGGAAAAAAGUAUCAAAGUAAACUACAUGUUCUAAUUGAGUGUAACCCUUGGCUACCAACCGGUCCUUGCAUAUAUCAAUAGAGCCAUUGGCAUGGUACUUGACUUUGUAUAUCCAUUUACAACCAACUGGAGUUUUGCCUAGAGGAAGGUCCACAAUGGUCCAAGUUUGAUUGUCCUUAAGAGAUGCAAUUUCAGUAUCCAUGGCCUACUUCCAACAGUCAUGUUUAGAGGUAUGAAGAUAGGUUUUUGGUUUAAAUAUGGAUGAAAUAGAGCAACAAAAGGAUUUGUAAGUUGGAGAGCAUUUUUUAUAUGAUAUAAAGUUGGAGAUAUGGAAGGUAGUGGAAGAGGAGUUAUUUAUAGAGGCAUAUCUAUUUGAUGAAAGAAAGAGAUUACAAUAAUAGUCUUUGAGAAAACUAUGAGGGUGUUUGGUUCUCAUUGAUUUUUGAGUUAGUAGUGUGGAUUGGUUUUGGGGAAUGUCUGAGGGAGGGUUAGAAUUAUGUGGAUACAUGUUAUCAACUAAGGUAUCAUGAAGGAUGUUGGGUUCAAAGUCAAUAACACUAGGAUCUUGGGUACUUGGUGAUGGAUUAAAAGUAGUUUGAUAUGGACUUGAGGUACUAGAGUCAAUCAAAGUAGGUUGAUUGAGACUUGGAAGGUUAGGGAUAAGUCCUGUUUCAGAAGUAAUAGGAUAAUCAUAAGAAUUUGUGACUGGUGUGACAACAGUAGAAGGAGUGGACAUAUGAGGCUCAGGGGUCAGAGUGAGGGCCUGAGGUGUAACAUAGUCAAUGUCAUAGGUGAUGUCCAUCAAGCUAUGAAUAUAAGUAGGGAGAUUUGUGGCAUUACUUUUGAAUGGAAAGGUGGUUUCAUAAAAGAAAACAUUUAGAGAUAUGAAUAAGUUAUGAGACUGAAGGUCAUAGAGAAUAUAACCUUUAGUACCAUCUUUGAAACCAAGGAGAAUGGCUUUUCUAGCCCUACCAUUGAAUUUUGUUAUGUGGGUCUGUAAAGUUGUUGAAAAACAUAAACAAACAAAGACUUUCAAAUGAACAAUAAUAUAUUAAGUUUUGAAAAAGCAACUCGUAUGGAGAUUUUGACUGAAGUUGAGGACUAGGGAUCCUAUUAGUCUUGUGGACAACAUGUUGAAUACUGAAGUUCCAUAGGUUUAAAGGAAUAUGUGUUAAUGUUUUCUCUCAACCACCCCAUUUUGCUGUUUUUGUUAUAGUGGUGGUGGUGGUGUGUGUGUGGCGGGGGGGGGGGUGUUCUACACAAGAUUUAUGGCGACUUAUGCCUUUGGAAGGGAAAAAGGAACUAAGAGUUAGGAACUUUGAACCCUUAUAUGACCUAAAGCAUUUAAGAGUGGUUUUGAAUUUAUUUCCUAUUGAGGCAAUAAAAUGUAUUACACUUUGUUUUGUUUCAGAUUUUUCCUUAAUAAAAUGACCCAUGUAAACCUUGAAAAUCCAUCAAUAAGAGUUAAGAAAUAUUUAUAGCCUAAAAUAGAAUCAGUAGAAAAGGGCCCCCAUAAAUCAACAUGUAAAAGUUCAAAUGGAGCAUGAGUAUGAGUAAGACUAUUUAGAAAGGGGAAUUUCUUUUGUUUUGCAAAAUGAAACGAAUCACAAGGGUUCAUGUUAUUUUUACAAGGGAUGGGGGGAAAAUGUUUAGCCAUAGUUUUCAUACUGAAAUUAGAAAGGUGGCCUAGUCUUAGAUGCCAAAGUUCAAAGGAAUUAGAAAUAACAUAAUUACUAGUGGAAUAAACAUCACUAAUAUCUAUCACAUAGAGGCCUCUGUGCCAUUUAGUUGUACCAAGCAUUUGCUUUGGAUGGUUCUGCAAAAUAUGACACAAGUUUGAAGAAAAUUUCAGAUAGCAAUCAAUAUUGCUAGUCAAUUUUGUGACUAAGAUUAAAUUAACAUGAAAGUUAGGAAUAUAGUGAAAAUUGUAAAGAGUUAAGGAAAGGGAAAUGACAAUGUUUCUAGAUAUGCAGGCAGUCAUGUGAGAUUCAUUUGGUAAGGAGAUUAAGCUAUUGAUUAACUUAACUCACAAAGAAAGAGUCGCCACAACGCUUUUAUUAUUUCCAAAGAAAAUAGAAAAAGAACGAACCAAACCCAAAGAAGUUUAAAAAAAACUAAUAAAAACAAAGAUAAGGGUCCAGGGGUUGGUUAUGUACAGGGAAGAUACUAGCACCCUAAGCAUCUAUAGUACUCUACAGGAACAUCUUUGAAAAUAUGUGCAUUUAGAUUUAAAAUGGUGUUGUUUACAAAAGAUUAGGGAGAUGAAAAGAGAUUUUUUUUUUAUAAUUUUUGUGUUUGCCAAGACUUUCUGAACCUCGUGCCUACGUACCCAUAAAGUGCAAUGGCGAAUCAAAACCUCGUAGUUCGUGGUAAAAAUAACAAAGAUGUUUGCUUUGAUUCAUUUUUAAUGAAUUUUUUUUUGUCAUUUUAAGAAGAACAUUCAACUAGCCAUCCACAAGUAUGGGAACUUUGCAUCACCAUGAGAAGGACUCUAACUUGGAUAAAUAUCAACUAGCUCUCUUAUAUAGAAAAGAAUUAUUAUCAAUACUAUGGGGAUAGAAAAAUUAUAUAUCAACUAUGGAAAUGACUCGUGUCUAAACUUUGAGAAAAAAGUUUUAAAAAGGAAAAAAAAAAGUGCACAAAGGGCACAAAAAGGUUUGAAUGAGUUAUGCAUUUUUAGUUUUUUGAAAUUGGUUUGAAUAUGAUUAAGAUGUAUUAGAAUUUAUUAAUAAAAGAUUUUGAAAAGAAAUCACUUGAAAAAAGUCAAGGUUUAUUGAGGAAGUAGUUCAAGUUUGAAAACAAGAAUGUUUUGAAAAAAAGAGAGAAGAUUUUGAAAAUCAAAGAAGGGGAGGAGAGGAAGAGAUUAUCCUAGAACAUAAAGUAAAAGCUAUGGAGGAAAGAUCCAACCAAGAGAUAACAACAAGAAUUCACUCCUUUGGAUUAAGCCUUAAGCAAGUCAAAUAAGCAAAGAAUAUUCCAUGUAUCAGAUGAAACCAAAGUAGCCAAGCAAAAUCUUCAAAAGAAUCUCAAAGUCAAAGGUAGCAGAUGAAUCUCAAGGUCUCAAAUCAGAAACUCCCAAAAGAUAAACAAGUAUGCCACUAGUUCUCUUAGAUGGAAAAUAAUUAUCAUCAAUACUAUGGGUAUAGAAUAAUUACAUCUCAACUAUGGAAAUGACUCAUGUCUAAACUUUGAGAAAAAGUUUUAAAAGAAAAAGUGCACAAAGGGCACAAAAUAGUUUGAAUGAGUAAUGUAUUUUUUAAGUCUUUUGAAAUUGGUUUAAAUGUGCUUAAUAUUUAUUAGCAUUUAUUAAGAAAAUAUUUUGAAAAUCACUUGACAAAAGUCAAGGUUUAUUGAGAAAGUGAUUCAAGUUUGAAAACAAGAAGGUUCUUGAAAAAAAAAGAGAAGAUUUUGAAAAUUAAAGAAGGGGAGGAGCUAAGAAGAUUAUCCUAAAACAUAAAGUAAAAGUUAGGGUGAAAAAUCUAACUAAGAGAUAGCAAGCUUUAUGACAUGUGUUAAGUAAGAACACUCUCCUUUGGAUUAAGCUUCAAGCAAGUCAAACAAGCAAAGAAAAAUCCAUGUGUCAGAUGAAACCAAAGUAACCAAGGAAAUUAUUUAAAGUAAUCCCAAAGUCAAAGGUACCAGAUGAAUCCCAAGGUCUCAAACUAUAAACUCCCAAACAAGGGUCAAAAUUCUAGUUCUAACUCCGUAACUCCAUAAUAAUCCCAAUGAUAGUAACCUCAAGUCCAUGAAUUAAGAGAACCAAUUUUUAGGGGUUUUUUCCUUUAUUAAUGUAUUUAAAAGAAAAAGAAGUCUAAAUGGACAAAGAAAAAAAGGCAUAAACAUAAACAAAGGUCCAAGUGGACAAAUAGAAAAUAGCAUAAAUACAAACAAUAUGAUAUGCGAUGCUAAAAUAAAAUCAUAAAGUUAAUAACAAGAAAUAAAUGGCAAAAAAAUAAAGAGCAUAAGAUAAAUGGCAUUAAAGUAAAUUUAAUAUAAUAAUAUGUUAGUAAGUUGUGUUAGUAAUAAAAAAUUGAAAGAUAAUUUAUCAUUUUUGGGAGAAUACUCAACUAUUCGCCCACAAGUAUGAAAAUGUGGACCUCUACAUCACCAUGAGAAAGACUCCAACUUGGAUAAAAUCAAUAAGUAUGCCACUAGUUUUAUUAGGUGAAAAGGAAACAAUAUUUUUCACACAAUACCAUGGGGAGUAGGAGACUUACAAUCUCACUUAUGAAAAUGACUUACUUUCGGAUUCAGGAUAAAUUUAACGUUAUGUUAAGCAAUCGUAAUUGGACUCAUGUUGAAGUCACAACUAUCUGAGCCCGGUCAAUAAUAAUAUUUAUGUUAAUACAUGCUAGAGAAAUUAUAUGUAAAUCAUUCUCCUAAAGAUAUGCCACACAAAAAAAGGAUGGAUCAAGCACAAAUGUUAAGAGAGUUGUUCAUUACAUCAAUCAAUACUUCAUGAUACUUAGGACAAGCUUAUGCAUCAAUCUAAAGUACCUUAAAUAUUCUAUGAUCAAUUAGGAGGUAGAUUUGAAGUGAUGAAAGUUCAUCAAGUACCAAUUCAUACAUCAUAAACAAGAUGAACACAAACCAUCCAAUUGAUCAAGAGAAAAAAGGAAGCGAAAGAGAUUAAGAAGAAGAAGAAGACGAGAGAAACCAAACUCAAAUUGGAUCAAAGGAUUGAUCAAGUCAUCAUCAAAAUCAAUCAUCCAUCUUGGUAGAUUUGGGUUUUCACCCCAUCAACACCGAAGAUCCAUUGAAUUUGAUGAGAUUUAUGAUCAAAAUAGCCAAGAUCCAAGGUCAACAGAAGUCAACAAAGGUCAAACAAGCAUAAAAUGAAAGAAAAUAAAAUAAAAUGCAUCAAAAAUAUUUUUUAAAUGAAUUUUAAAAGGCAAAUAAAACAAAAAAUUCCAUAAAACCCUUUAAAAUACCAAAUAAAUGGCCAAGAAAAUUAUGGAAGGUUGAAGAUAAAAUAAGGAACAUAAAAUAAAUUUUUCAAAUAUUUUUAAUGCAUAAAAGUAUUUUUAAACUAAUUAAAAAAAGGGGAAAAAGAGGAAAUCCAAGAAAAUAAAAUAUGGAAAAAUAAAAAUCAGAUGAAGAAAAAAAAAAGAAAAUUUUAGAAAAUAUUUUGGGAUUUUUUGGAUAAAAAAUGAAUUUUCUAUAAAUUUUUAAAGAAAAUGCAAUUUAAAAUAAAAAAUAAAAAGAAAUAAAAAACAGAAAAAAAUAGAGGCAUUGGAUCUGACCUCAUUAAUUGACGUGGCAAAUCCAACAACUAUCAGGCUAGGGCGCAUGGUGGAAAAUAGUUAGAAUAAAACAUGGAAUCACAUUCAAAAUGGACCAAUCAAAACAUUUCAAAAUGCCAACGUGGAUAGCCAACUCAGAUGGCCUGAAACAAAUCCAUUCAUCUUCUUCGGUAAUCCCUCAUCGGAGUUUCAUCAUUUGACAAAGUAAGAACAUGAGACUACCACCAAUGUGAUCGUCUCCUCAUCACGAAUUCAACCUAAUGCUCAAAAUUAAUUUAUCUAAAUUGAGUAUGGAGAAUUUCAGAGAAGUUUUAGAAACAAGCAAGUCACAAAAAGUAAAAUUAAAUGAUGAACAUUAUCACUCAACACCAGAUAAGUUAGGGGAAAGCAUAAGAGGGUGAAGGACUACAUUGUGGUAACUCGUUUGAGUUCAAAUGAUGCUCAAAACUACCUUGUCCAAAUGUAGAUCGGAGGUUGAAGAAGCUUGAUCUGGUCAGGGCACUUCAGAAGGUCUUACAGAUUGAGAAUUAUUGCAAAAUCUUCAUAGGAGACUGAAAGUUUUAAUUGAAUCAAGAAAUUGAACUGAAACAAGCUAGAAAUCAAACACGAUAGCUCAAUUUUCUAGAAAUGUUUAAUAGUGGAGCAGGGGUUUUUUAGCUCUCCAAAGCUUGGGAAUAAGGCAAAUAUAUUGCUCUAUUUAUAGGGAAGUGAUUGGUGAUCUCAUACGUGCCAAAUGAUGCUUAAUUCGUGCAAAACAAAUUUGCUCAUGAUGUGAGAAAAGUGUGACUUGUAAAACCAUCAAAACUCAGCCAAAUUAUGCAUUAAAUGAUUCAUUUAACUUUUGAAGACUUGAUUAAUCAUGUUUAGGUCCAAAACGUGUGGUAAAUUGGCUUGUAAUUAAGGAUUAGUGAAGUUCAAAAUUCUGAACAUGGUGAUUUCUUCAGUUCCAAGUUACCAUGUUUAAUUCAAUGGGGCAUCUUGCCUAGGAGGCUUUUUGAUCUCAUUUUUCUUGCAAUUUUUGGACAUCAUAUCAAAGAUUACAAUGUGCCAAGAAAGGUUGCAUUUGGAUGCUUGAGCAGAAGUUUAUGGCAUGUUAAAGUUGGCACAAAAAUUUGGUUAUGCAACUUGGAAAAUUCUAAGUCCCAGAUGGCUAAAAAUGACCCAUAAUGUCUCAAAGAAUUCCAUGGUCUUCCAAGCAUAAUUUGACUUUGAUCCUUGAAGAAAACUUGUAGAGGGCAUCACAAAUGAUAUUAUUCAAAAAGAAUCAGCGUCAAAUGUUGGAAAUUGAAGAAGUUAUAAUCCUUGAAAGUUGAGAAAAAGUCACUUGAAAAUAGGUCAAAUUUCACUAGGUCCACAAAUGACCUAUAAUGUCUUCAAACUUUUGAUGAUCCUCCAUGCAUAAUUGGAUCUUGUAAUGUAAAGAGAAGUUAUAGAGGAUAUUUAGAAGAGUCAUAUGCAAAAAGAAACAUUCAAAAAUAUUGAGGAUUGAAGGAAUUGUGAACCUUGGAACUUUGACUUCAAAUGUUGAAUUUUUGGUCAAACCUCUUGGAAUAAACUUGUGUACUUGGACUUUUAUUGCAUUUCAAGGUACAUGGAUGAUCAUAUGAACUAAAAAUAAGGUGUCCUUAAAUUUAUUUUUAUUAAAUUUCUUAAAGUUUGAGGUAACAUAUUGAAGAAGGCAUGGAAAUAAACACAUGAACCUUUGCCUUUUCUUGAGACCGAUUAUCCACUUUUGUGUAACCGAUUACAAGCGCAAUAUUUUGAUUUUUCCUGCUAUUUUACUUGGUCAAUUCAGUUCCCAAUUGUGUUGUAUCUCUUGUAUAAGUGUUUAGAAUGCACACUCAUCUAAGGUUAAUGCAAUAAUAAUCUCUCACCCUUAAUUCUCCUCUUUCACACUCUACAUCCAAAGUAUCUCCACCAUUGUUCAUCAAACUUGUUGUGUCUUGUUCCAACAUUUGACAUCAAGAGUCUGGUUCAGAUCCACAAACACCUAGUGUGCAACAUGAAUUAUGUUUCCAAUGAAAGAAUCCCUGCAAACCUACAUAUCCUUGAUGCGAAGAAUUAUGAUAAAUGGUGCAAGAAAAUGAAGAUGUUGUUUGGCUACCAAAAUGUUCUUAAAGUAAUCAAGAAUGGUGUUAGCCCUCUUGUUCAAAAUGCAACAGAGGUGCAAAAAGAAACACAUAAGAAAGAGAAGAAGAAAUACUUCAAAGUGUUAUUCUUGAUCCAUCAAUGUGUUGAUGGCGACAAUUUUAAGAAAGUUGGUGAUUGCGAAUCGUCAAAGCAAGUGUGAGAGAUCUUAGAAAAGACAUGUGGAUGGGUUGACAAGGAAAAGGUGGCGAGGUUACAAACUUACAAACACCAGUUUGAAUUGAUUCAAAUGGAGGAAAAGGAGACAAUAAACUAUUUUGCAAUGAGAAUCACCCGGUUGGUGAAUCAAGUGAAGGCAUGCAAAGAAACUGUUACAAAGCAGUAUGUUGUCGCUAAAUCUUGCAUUCUUUAACACUAAGAUUUGACAAUAUAGUUGUGGCGAUUGAGGAGUCAAAGGAUCUCACGAUGAUGAGUAAAGAGAAGCUGCAAAGUUCUCUCGAGGCUCAUGAUAAAAGGAUGGAAGAGAGGAAUAACGUUAAGGCAAAGGCGGAGAUCGCUUUGCAAGCUCGUUUCAAUGAGAAGGACAAGAGAUCGAAAGGAAAAUGGCCCAAGAAAAGAAAAGGGAAUUUUCAUAAUUUUGGUGGAAGAGAGUCCUAAAAUUCAAAUAAUUUUACUUGUCAAAGGGGUGAGAGCAUCUUCAACAAACAUGGUGGUCAAGGCAACUUUAGAGGUAGAAGGAAGAGGUUUGACAAGAGCAAGGAGUAGUGCUAUAAGUAUCAAUGGUUUGGCCAGUUUGCAAAAGAAUGCAAUUUGAACAAGAAGGAAUCUCAAGGGGAUGAAGCCAAGGUUGCAAGAUAAGAGUUUGAUAAAGAGAAUACAUUUUUGGUCAUGAUCAAAGAAGGGAAUUGUAGCAGCAAACAACUGCGGGACAACAACUACAACAACUCAACGAAUGCUGAAUAGGUUGGUUGAAUGAUACGAUUAACCAAUUGCAUGAAGAGGAAGACGCCAUGAUGAGUUUGAAAGGAGUUCAAUGCAGUGAGGAGUGGUAUUUGGACUUGGUUUGUUCAACUCAUAUAACGGGAAUAAAGGAUUGGUGUGCCAAAAUCAAUUGUGCCAUGAAGAACAAAGUAAAGUUCGCGGAUGACACCACUCUAAUAUUCAAUGGGAUCAGUGAUGUUUUAAUCAUGAGAAGGGAUAAUGGACAUUCCUUGACCAUAAAUUCUUGUACAUUUAGGGAAUCAAAUGUAACCUUCUGAGUAUUGGCCAAUUUCUUGAGAAGGGUUAUAAGAUUCACAUGGAAGACAAGGGGUUGCGGGUUAUGGAUGUAAGAUGAGUCUUGGUCCUUAAAGCGCAUAUGGAUGCCAAUAAAACCUUUAAGGUUGAGUUGAAGGUUAUAGAGCAUAAAUAUCUUGCUACUGUAACAAGUAGACAAUAUUGGAUUUGGCACUAUCGUCUUAGGUAUCUCAACUUUAGAGAUUUCAAAGACUUUCAAAAGAACAGAAUGGUAACGGGGCUGCCAUCGAUCAACAUACUAGCUGAAAUUUAUGAAGAAUGUAUGCAAGCGAAGCAACAUAUGGGAAAAUUAAGAAAGUAGAUUCUAUUGGUGGCAAUAUGUAUUUUUUCACAUUUAUCGAUGAUCAUAGUACGAAGCUAUGGACAUACCUAAUCAAGAGAAAUGACGAUGUAUUUGAUGAUUGUUUGUCAUUGCAUAUAUUUAAUCGAAGAAUCAAAGAAAAAUAAGUGAAAUUUGAGAUAAAAUGAAGAAGAAUGAGGAAAAAAUAGCUAAGUGUGAAAAUUGUGGACUUAUUGAAAAUUUGAGUGAAAAGGGGAGCAAAACCGUGCAACCACGGGAAUAAUCACGCGCACCAUCACAUAGCAUCGUGCACGCGAUGGGGUCUUUAAAGCAGCAUUACACGCGCGAUACAAGGAAUCACGCGCGUGAUAAGUACUUUUUAUGGGCUUUUUAGACACGUUCUAGUCCAUUCUAACGCCUUUAAAAGAGGAUUUUCUGCACUUUCACAAGGGUUACAAAAUUGGGAGAUCUAGGCACGAUUUUGAGAGCACAAGUGGUGAUUUUUAUAGCAUUGGAAGCUAUUGGAGGCCAUUACUUCAACGUAUUUCACAUGUUAUUUUCAUCUAUCAAUUAUGGCAUUUUUAAUUGCAUUAUGAGUAGCUAAGCUCUUUUAUAUUAGGUUGUGUUAUGAUGAACCUAUUUCUAUAUUGUUGGAAUCUAUGUUGAUUUAACCAUUCUAAGAACCGUUUGAACUAUAAUUCCAUUCAAUUGCUUUUUGUUCAUAAUUCCUUUUAUGUGAGAUACUCUUUUAAUCUGAUUUUGGGCACAUAGGGAAUAUUGACUAUUAGUCUAUGUGUUGGACCUAGGGAAAUUGUUGUACUUACGCUGGUUGAAUAGGAAUAGGAGACCCUGAGUAGUGGCAUAGAGAAUUAAUGUUUUAUACAUCACCUAACCUUGCUUACGCUGGCAGACUAGGGAUAGAAAGCUCUGAGUAGUGGUUAGUGAGUUAUUUCGCGAGGGAUCAGCUAUAACGGUUUUGUUAAUUCGAUGUGGUGUUAUAGUGAUAAGACCAUUCGUAAAAGAUAUAAAACAUCAACAAUAGAGGAAUAGGGGAUUCUAGAACACAAUAUGCUCGUUUUCGUGAUAUUGUUUAAUUGUUUAUUUACUUUUCGCACUGAAACUCGAAAACCCCCCUUUUUACUAGUUUUCUAUAAAUUGCACACAUUUUGUCUUGCCUGAAGGAAAUUCAUGUGGAUUCGAUCUUUUUAUUACUUCGACAAUAUCAAUACACUUAUCGAGAAAUCAUUAAGUUUUUGGCGUCGUUGCCAGGGACUGUUGAUUUUUCAACAAGGCGAUGUUUGUGCAAUUUUUAUUUUUAUUUUUUUAGUCUUUUAGUUUUUUUUUUCUUUUUCUUGUUUAUCAUAGUGCUAUUGAGGUAUUUUUUGUUUGUGUAUGCACAAUUUAGGAUCAACAUUAAUACCAUUGGUUCUAGAAAUUGAAAGAACUACACGUGCUCUCAGAAAAGCAGUUAGAGAAGCAGCUCUGAAAGGAGGAAUACUAGAAGAAGAGCAACUAUCAAAUUCUUCUGACUCUGAAGAAGAAGCUGUAAUGGAAGCUGCACAACCCCUAACUAUGGGGCAUUAUUAUAAAUUAACCGAUGAAGGACACUUAUCAAGAGGGUUUGUGCUGGUAGACCCUGCUAACUUUGAUAUUAAAAAUUAUGUGCUUUAAGGUUUGAGAGAAAAUUCGUUUGAUGGGAACACGAUUAGAGACCCAUGGGUGCAUCUUACACACUUUUAUGAAAUAACUUAAAUGUGCAAACCAACUGAUGCCACUGAAGAGCAGGUUAAAUUGAGGUUGUUUGGGUUCUCACUAAUUGGAAGGGAGAAAGAUUGGUUACUUUGCCUUCCGAAUAAAACGAUACAUACUUGGAAGGAAUUAAAGGAUAAAUUCCUCGAAAUAUUUUUCAUUACUACUCAGUUUACCGAGCGCUAAGCAGAAAUUGUGAAUUUUGUGCAGCAGGAAACUGAGUCACUUUAUGACUCUUGAGAAAGAUUCAAAUUUUUGUUACGCAGAUGCCUGAAUCACAACAUGAAUAAUAUGGUGCAGAUGUAAAACUUCAUUAAAGGUCUCAAGAGUCAAACUCACAUGUUAUUGGAUGCUUCUACGAGAGGUACUAUCUGAAAAAUGAAUGAACCACGGGUAAAAGAUCUCAUUAAGAAGAUGUGUAUGAAGGAGUACCGAUCCAAGAAUGAAAGGUCGGUCAAGAUGGGAAUUGUGGGCACGCCUAAAGGUAUGUUACCUAUUGAUACCCACACUGCUCUUUUAGCUCAGAUUGAAUUAUUAAAUAAAAAUCUAGUUGGAAGCAGCUUAGUUAAAGCUAAUGUAGGCUAGGUACAAGCACUUGGGUGCGAUUUAUGUAGAAGAGAACAUGCGAAUGAAAGGUGUUCAUUGGAAGAGACAAGUGAGGAGGUCCAAUUUGCUAAUUUUUUAAAAAAUAACUUGUAUUCAAACACAUACAAUCUGGGUUGAAAAGACCAUCCAAAAUUCCGUUGGAAUAAUAAUCAAAAUUCAAAUGCUAACUAAGGGAUGCAACAAAGUCAACAAGCUCUGUUUCAAAGGAAUCCCAUCACAGUUGGUAGAGACCUCACAAAAUUUCAUUAAGGUCACUCAAAGUAGAUUUGAUAGGGUAAAGAAGACCCAUGAAUAAAUGAGUAGAAACUAGGAUGCGUCUAUCAAAAUUUUGGAGAUGAAGAUUGGUUAAUUAUCUAGAAAAGUAGCUACUUUGUCAAGCUCAAGUGGAGGAUUCACCAGUAACACCGUUGAUAACCAUAAGAAUGAUAACCCUAAAUAUAGGUUUAAGGGCAAUUACUGAAAAGGAUAAGGAUGAGAUAGUUAAACAAUGUGUGGUUAAGGCAUAUGAGGGUACCUGUAGCACCUCAAAUUUGCACCCCCCAUUCAUGCAUUCAUUUCAUUUUUUAGGUCAUUUAUCAUUCCAUAUUGCAUUGCAUUUUGGCAGUCAGCAUUGGCAUCAAGAGAUUCAUCAGUACAAAAGAGAAAGUUUUUUCUUGAGAUGAAGGCCAAAUGAUUAUACUAAAGAGCUUAUAUGAGCCCAGGUUCAUUUUGAAGCAAAGUUACCAAGUGGUAGAGGCCCAAACUCAUCAGUGCACUUCCAGGUCAUCUGAGGCCCAUACAAGUCAACUAUGCAGUCAACUAAGGGCUUUGAGUUGGGGAAAUGGUUUGAGACACUUCAUUCAUGUCCAAAAGAGGCUUUUUCAUCAUGUCAAACAUCUACCUUGAAGAUUUUGAAGUCAAAUCAAAAGUUUCCAAAAAUGGAAAGUGACCUGUAAUUCAAAGUUUCCAAAAAUGGCAAGUUUUUAGACCACAUUCAACUUGACUUUCCAACAUCAAAUAAGCUUCAAAUGAAUUUUUGGUCAACAUGAAAGUUGAAGAUAUUUCUCUCCUAUUUCCAAAAAGUCCAAGAGUAUGAGUAUCUGAUGAAUGGUUGAGAAGUUAUGAACAAAUGAUUGCAAAGUAUGCAUGGAACUUCAAAGUGCCAUAACUUUUGAUCCAAAACUCCAAAUUGAGCCACUCUUUUUGCAAAAUGCUUGUAUUGACCAAUAUUUUCCAAAUCAAACAUUGCAUUGCAUGAAAUUAACUCACAUGAUCAUUUGUCCAUGCAUGUAUAUUUUGGAGGGAAAAUGGAUAAUUCAAAUUCUAUUGAUCAUACAUGAAAAAUUCCUAUGCCAUUGUGAUCUUUGGAUGAUUUUAAGUGACUUUUAACCAUGCAUGUGCACUGUUCACGUGUAAAAUCUCCAUGCACCACACAUUUACCAUUUUUGCAUUACACCUCAUUUCUCAUUAAGUUUCCAUUAGCCAAGCCUAAUUGUGAUUAGCAUGAUAAUUAACAUGUGAUAUAAAUAGAUAAUCCUAACUGAAUUGGAUGAGAUUACACAUUCUAGAUCUAGAAAUUGGAUUUCCCUCCAAAAAUUCUCUCAAUUCAAACAUCAAAUUUCUACACAUAACUCAUGAAUUUUCUUGCAUAAUUGUGUUCAUCUUGCAUCAUUGAGUAAGAAUCAAGGCCUGGACUGAAGGAUUUGGUGCAGAGUCGAGCUCCACGAAUGCAUGAAAAUGAAGAAGGUUUUCUGAAUUUGAGCUUCAUUUAGGUAGUUUCAAUUGCUAUUCCUUCCAUAAAGCUUCACCUCAAGGUUGAUAGAGGAGACCUGGAGCUGGAGGAGGCUUGAAUCCACGAAAUCAUCGCACUGUUCUUCAAGAAGGUUAAAAUUUGAAUCUCAUUAUUUGCCAUUUUAUGCACAUGAUCUUGUAGGUCGUGCUCCACUGAUGAUUCUGAUAUGAAUAUUAUUGAUUUUGGCUGGAUAUUGAGUGAGUUAUGAUGAAUUAAAGUUUGUAUGCUAAAUUUGUUCUUGCUCGAUCCAUGAGAUAUGUGAUGAUUUAGAGUGAAUUAGGCAUGGAUUUGGAAUGUACGUUAUGCAAGCUUUCGAUCCAUAUCAUUUUUGCAUGAUUCUAGAAUUUUUUUGAUGCACCUUCAUCGGCGUACCACCGGAGAAGAUGACCGAAAGUACUAUUCCGGUCAUCUGGUUCAUGAGCUAGGGUUUUAAUGUGCGCACCUGUAACCAUGCAAGCCCCAGUUCGAUCCUUGGCAACUGUUAUUUUAAAAUCCAUUUAUUUUCUCCCUAUGAUCCAAACGUUGCGUUUUGCUCUAGCGCCCUUGUGAACAAGCCUUGCCUCUGUUCGAUUCUUGGCCUGGCAAUUAUCCCAAUUGAUUUUAUUGAGCGCGCCUAUGACCCUAUAGUCCUCAGUUCGAUUCAGGCGCUUUGCAUUUUUUCUUUUAUUUUCAAUUGAAGCGCUGCCUUGGACCUUUGUGUCCUGAGUUCAAUCCCUGACCAAGUAUUUUUCAUCUUUUAAUUCACAUUUCAUUUUUUCACAUGAUUGUUGUGAUGUCUAUUAUUUUUUGAUGUGAUUUUCCUAAUUUUUGUAUUUCUGGAAUUUUAAAUGUGUUUGUGUGAUUGAACAUGAUGCAAAUAUGACAUGUUAUGCUAAAUGUUUUAUGAAAUGCUCAUAUUUUAUCCAAUUGCCUUGAAAUUUGACAUGCUUGAUCUAUACAUGUGACAUGAUUUUUGAGCUUUUGUUUGGCAUUUUUAGCACAUUCCAUCACUGUUUGGGACACAUGAACAUAUGAUGUAGCAUUUGGUGUCACAUUCUUGACCUUGCUUGUGUUCAUUUUCAUUUGCAUGUCAUUUGAUAUCUUCUGGACCUAAUUCUUUGCAUGAUGCUUGUGUUUAAAAUUUUGAUCUCACAUAAAAAAUUUCAUGAUCAUUGGAUGCAUUUCUGUUUUAAUGUGGAUUUUCUACCUUUUUCUUGCCUUGUGUAGAUGAUGAAUAAGCACCACUGUUGAUUGACUGUUUGGUUUGUCUGAAUGUGAUAUUGACUGUUUGACUUUUGUACAGGUACAUUAGUCGCUUUUAGCUCUCGCUUGAGCUUUGCUUUGGUUGUGGUUGAUAUACCACCUAGGUAAUCACUCUAACUCCAUGUAGUCUGGAAGCCCUGUCGUUUCUUUUGGCAUGCAUUUGGUUGAAGUCCUCCUUAAGAGGCAAUGACUGUGUUUAUUUAUAUUUAUGCCAAAGACCUCCUUGUCGAGGCAUGUUACUUGUUAAGUCCUCCUAAGUGAAGAGGCAAUUGACAGAUGGAAAGGAUUAGCAAUCAAUCCCCUGUUAUUCGUUGAAUCGUUCAUUAUGCUCGCACUAUAUGCUGAUGCUCUUGAACCUAACCCAAGAUCCUUGUAUAUAGAGUCAGUCAAGUGGAAUAGGGUCCCUCUUUCUGGAUCCCCAGGUUUUCAUUGAUUUGAGCUCACCCAGGCCAGGGUUAAGAGCAUGAGGUCUUAUCCUCAUUACCUUUCAUCAGCUUCACCCUAACUCUCAAUGUUAGUGGUUAAGAGCUUCAGCACACCCCUACAGUUUUGGCUUGUUUGUCGAGGUUGAUAUGACCCCUUGACUAAAGCCUUACCCUCAGAUGUUUGAGCCCCUUGUUGGCGUGUUUACUUCAUGUAUAUGUUUUUGUGUGGUGUGAUUGUAUCCCCAUAGGAUUGCUAGACUUCGUAUAGUCUCUCGUUUGCAUGUCAAUUAAGGUAGCAUGGUUCCUUCGUCUAGGACUUCCUUUCUUGCGUGAGCAUUCCUAAAACACAAACAAACUUUAUCUUCUCUUAAGGACACGUUGACUCCUUCUACUACAGGUGAGUAAGUCUCCAAAGGUCGAGCAUCCAUCUAGGACUUCCUUUCUUGCGUGAGCAUUCCUAAAACACAAACAAACUUUAUCUUCUCUUAAGGACACGUUGACUCCUUCUACUACAGGUGAGUAAGUCUCCAAAGGUCGAGCAUCCGGUAGAUUGCAUAGUAACGUUGUUCACCUAAAAAACACAACAAACAGAAAUAGUUUAGCCGAACUACGACAACUCUGAUUCUCAUGUUCAGAUGAGAUACGUAGGCAUGAGAUGCGAUGUCUUGUCGAGUUUGACUGACGACUAACAUUAAUCCUUGCUAGUUUUCAUCCUCGUUGCGAUUCUUUUCUCUCGCCCUCGUUGCGAUUGAGACCUUCCUUUUCUCUUGCCCUAGUUGCAAUCGAGACCCUUCUUCUUUUCGUGUGUGUUUGUUAGGAGUCGGAUAUAAGUCCAUCUAUUGGCAUUCUGUUUCCUGUUUGCGUGUGUGUUUGUUAGGAGUUGGAUGUAAGUCCAUUUAUUGGCAUUCUGUUUCCUUGUGUGUUUGUUCGGAGUCGGAUGUAAGUCCAUCUAUUGGCACUCUGUUUCCUGUUUGUAUUUCCUUGUUAGGAGUUGGAUGUAAGUCCAUUUAUUGGCAUUCCGUUUCCUUUGAGUGUUCUUUUGACGUCUCAGCGUCUCUUUUCAGUGUUUUGUUUCGGCGUGCGUUAGCCGAGCUACGAGUGCUCUGAUUCUUCCUCUGGUUAGAGAAGAUACGUAUGCAUAGGAUGCGAUGUCCUAGCGAGCACGUCUCCCAUUUCCCCGAACUACGUCGACUCUGAUGUUUGUUUCUGACAAACUACGUAGGCCCAGGAUGCGACAUCCUGCCGAGUCUGCUUUCUCCGUCUCCUCUUCCGCCUGUUUAUUAUUCCAUUGCGUGCAGUCUUUGAGCAGUUUUAUUAGCAACCUUAUUCUUUCCUUCUGAGCGUGGAUCCCAUCGAGUACGACGGACGUGAGGGGUGCUAAUACCUUCCCCUUGCGUAACCGACUCCCGUACCUAGCAAUCUUUGUUCGUAAGACCAUUCCUUUCCCUUUUUCAGGUUUACUUCGAGGGUUUCCUUUCCCUCCUUUGGGAUAAAUAACGCACGGUGGCGGCUCUGUGUCUUUUCCCGCCGGUUGUUUUUCGCGAUGCGACAGUACCAAUCAAGGUGACCAAGAGGAAAGAGGAGUCACCAUUGAUCAACUUAUAGACAAAAAUUCUCCUUGGAGGAGAACAAAGAGGCAUAUCUUGACUGAACCAAAUCCUCCUUUACCAGAUUACGUAAAACCACCGUAGCCGAUAAUUAAAAAGAAAUUGGUUCAAGAUGAUGAAGCGGGAAUGUUUGCAAAGUUCAAGGAAGUUCUAGCUACUCUCCAGGAAAGUAUUUCAUUCCAUGAAAUUUUAGAACUAAUGCCUAAGUUUGUUAAAUUUAUGAAGGCGUUUCUAAAUGGGACGGAAGAGAAAUGAAUCAAGGAACAUGUAAACAUGACCGAAAAUGAUGAUAUGGUAAAACCUCAAUCCUUACAACCUAAACUAAAAGACUCAGGUAAGUUUAUUAUUUCUUGUAAUAUCAGUGGAUUCAAUAUUCUGCAUGCUCUAUGUGAUCUGGGGUUUAACAUAAAUGUCAUGCCACUGAAAACUGUCAAAGAAUUAAAAAUGGGUGAGAUCACACUGAAUAACAUGACUCUCACUCUAGUUGAAUCGUCUAUUACUCAAUCGAUUGUUACUUUACGCAACAUAUUAGUAUCUGUGGACGACUUAUUGUUUCCUAUAGAUGUUGUAGUGCAUGAUACAAAAGGAGAUUAAGGAGGAUCUGUUAUUCUUGGACGUCCAUUCUUGGCAACCGAGAAAGCAAAGAUUGAUGUGGACACUGGUCAACUUAUCUUGAAGUCAAAUAAAAGGAAUGUGGUUUUCAAGGUAUUUGACUGGGCAUCUUAUGUGGAUAAUUUGGAUACUUUAUACCAUCCGGAGGAAAAAGGUAGAAAAGUAGACAAAGGAACAAUGAGAAAGGAAGUGACAGGCGUGAGGGUAUCCCUUGCACCUGACGUACCUUAGACAUGGAUUGUCAAGCUAGUUACGUAAAAAAAGCGUCUGAUGGGAGGCAACCCAUCCGUAAGAAAUUAUUUUUAUGUCAUAGUGAAUUUUUAUUUUUCUAACCUUGUUAAUUUUUGUGUUAUGUUGUUCGAAGAGAAAAUAGGUAAAAGAAGAAAAGAAAGAAAAAGAAAAAGGGAAGAAAAUAGAAAAAGAAAAGAGAUAGGAAAGUUUCAGCCCCUGGAAUCAUCACGCAUGAUAAUAUAAACUAGUUAUUUACAAUAAAUUUUUUUGAUAUUUAUUUAAAGAAGCACAAUUAAUAUAAAGACAAUAACACACCAAUCACACAUAAUAAUUUUAGAAUAAUUAUACUCUAAGAUUUUGAGAGUCGUGAUAUCUCCUCUUCUUAAAUGUUUAAGAAUUGGAUCUCUCUCACUAAUCUCUAUCCCCUUAUUUAUUUUAAGAAUAAACAUAUUGAAUUAAUAAAACAUAAUUGCACAUUUCUUAUAGCGAUUAUACAAACAACUAUCAAAGUUGAAAAAACUAAAGAGAGGUCAACUCAAUCUUUAUCAAAUUAAAUUAAAGUUUAUUUUAAAACACAAACAACUAGUUCAUUAAAAAGAUAACUUGUUUAGUACACAAAUGAGAUCUUACUUAAUACAUAGAAAUAAGAUCUUACAAAACAUAGAUAUUAAAAACAUAGGAACAACAUGAAAAGUUUUCAAAAUGACAUAGACAUUGAUUAACAAAGACAUGAAUUAGUUUCGGGUAUUUUUUAACCAUCCAUCAAGGUAAACUUGUUUGGAGUCAGGGGUGAAUUUUUCUUUCUCGGCUCGGAUAUCUUUCAACCAUCCAUCAAGGUAAACCUGAUUGUUGUCUGAGGUGGAUUUUGUUGUCUCGGCUCGGAUAUCUUUCAACCAUCCAUCAAGGUAAACUUGGUUGGAGUCAGAGGGCAAUUUUAUUUUUUCAGCUCGAGUGUCUUUCAACCAACCAUCAAGAUAAACUUGUUUGGAAUCAGAGGUGGAUUUUGUUUUCUCUGCUCGGGUAUCUUUCAACCAUCCAUCAAGGUAUACUUGGUUGGAGUCAGGGGUGGAUUUUGUUCUCUCAUUUCGAGUAUCUUUCAACCAUCCAUCAAGGUAAACUUGGUUGGAGUCAGACAUGGUUUCUGUUUGCUUAGCUCGAGUAUUUUUUAACCAUCCAUCAAGGUAAACUUGGUUGGAGUCAGGGGUAGAUUUUUCUUUCUCAGCUCGGGUAUCUUUUAACCAUCCAUCAAGGUAAACUUGUUUGGAGUCAGAGGUGGGUUUUGUUUUCUCUGCUCGGGUAUCUUUCAACCAUCCAUCAAGGUAAACUUGAUUGGAGUUAGGCAUGGACUUUUCUUUCUCGGCUCUGGUAUCUUUCAACCAUCCAUCAAGGUAAACUUGGUUGGAUUCAGAGGUGGAUUUUGCUUUCUUUGCUCUGGUAUCUUUCAACCAUCCAUCAAGGUAAACUUGGUUGGAGUUAGGUAUUGACUUUUCUUUCUCAGCUCUGAUAUCUUUCAACCAUCCAUCAAGAUAAACUUGGUUGGUGUCACCUGUAGAUUUUGCUUUCUCAUCUCGAGUAUCUUUCAACCAUCCAUCAAGAUAAACUUGGUUGGAUUCAGAGGUGUCUUUUGCUUUCUUUGCUCUGGUAUCUUUCAACCAUCCAUCAAGAUAAACUUGAUCAGAGUCUUGGGAGGAUUUGGUUUUCUCUGCUCGUGUAUCUUUCAACCAUCCAUCAAGAUAAACUUGGUUAGAAUUAGCAAUUUGUUUUUGACUCUUCAAUGGAUUUUUGAGCCAACCAUCAAGGUAAGGUUGAUCAGCUUGUAUUUCUUCUACAUUCUCUUGCUGAAGUUUGAUAUAUCGGGCAAAGCUUCCUUGUCCAUUCUACGAUACAAUUGAAUAAAUGGAUAUUAGUGAGUUAUUUUUGGAUGGUAUAUAUGACUAUAAAAACAAAAUUAUGUGUUUUAUG